rnacentral:lncRNA from 1 species
UUUUUUUUGGUAAAACAAAUAGACGAUCAUCUAAGUAUUUUCUGUUGACGCAACUUAGUAGCUCAGCUAGCCCAUGGCCAAUCUGAGGGAGCUUUUCAGUUUCCGUGAUUCUGAUCCAGGCUUGUGCGCACAUUAAAUUGUGUUUUUCUGCUAAUGGUUUAUAAUACAUACACGUUACUUCUCUUGUCAAAACUCAGAAAUGACUCCCUUCCAACCCUUUAUAUUGCAGAGAAUGACCCAAGGAGGACUCGGAUUGCUAAUGCAUACUUUUCACUCUUCAUGGCCCUGGGAAACAUACUUGGAUAUGCCACCGGAGCAUACAGUGGCUGGUAUAGGAUAUUUCCUUUCACUGUUACACCAUCCUGCAGCAUCAGUUGUGCCAACCUCAAGUCUGCCUUUCUUCUUGACAUUAUUAUUCUGGUGAUCACAACCUACAUCACUGUAUCAUCAGCGCAAGAGCCUCAAACUUUUGGAGGUGAUGAAGCAGAACAUCCAGGUACCGAACAGGAAGCUUUCCUCUGGGAGCUUUUUGGGUCAUUCAGAUACUUCACACUACCAGUUUGGAUGGUCUUAAUUGUCACUGCCCUUACAUGGAUUGGAUGGUUUCCUUUUAUCCUCUUUGAUACUGAUUGGAUGGGCCGAGAGAUCUACCGAGGAAGCCCAGACAACCCAGAACAGUCCCAAAGUUACCAUGAUGGUGUGAGAAUGGGUUCUUUUGGCCUAAUGAUGAACUCUGUCCUUCUUGGGUUCACCUCUGUUGUACUAGAAAAGCUAUGUAGGAAGUGGGGAGCUGGACUAGUAUGGGGUGUCUCCAAUAUACUAAUGGCUUUAUGCUUUGUGGCAAUGCUCGUAAUAACAUAUGUUGCAAAGAACAUGGAUUAUCCUCCCAGUGGAGUACCUCCAACUGGCAUUGUCAUUGCUUCCCUGGUGGUUUUUACAAUUUUAGGGGCACCCCUGGCGGUGAGUAACAAGAUUGUCUUUUUCGACAGAAUGAUAUUUUUUUGUCUACUUCCAGCUCACUUGUAUGUUGUCCAUGUGGUAUAUUCAAUUUAUUUCCUUGUUUGCAGAUCACAUACAGUAUACCAUAUGCAAUGGCUGCUAGUCGUGUUGAAAAUCUGGGUCUUGGCCAAGGUAUUUCCAUUUUGAGUACGUACUAUCAUCAUGAUUGCAUUUCUUAACUUUUUUCUAUUUAUCCCCUGCAGGUCUGGCAAUGGGUAUCCUAAAUUUAGCUAUUGUCAUACCACAGGUAAUUACCUUUAUUAAUGUUUUUUGUCGGCUUUGGUUCAGUACUAUGUGUAUAUGGAGUCCAGUGCAACUGUGAGCAGUCAUAGGGUAAUUGGCCUAAACUGAUCAGUAGAUAAUGGAUCCAAGUAAUCUUACCCAAUAACAUUUGCUCUAAGUGAUAAUUGGUUCCAGAACCCAAUUUUAAAAAUGGUUUAUAUUCUUAGCAUCUUAAAGGCAAUAAGAGACGGUUUGAGUUGCAGGUUGAAAUGAUGUUGGUUGUCUAUAUCUUUAUUUAUAGUAGUGUCAGAUUACAGAUAGAACAGAUUUGGUCUUCAGUUAAUUGUAACACAUGGCAACAUAGAAGAACACAAGACAAACAAGAAACCCACGAUGAUGAAAUCACUGUAUCCAUAAAAAACCUAGCUGUAUCCUGGGUUUUUCCUAAAAACCCUUUGUUCUUAAUAUAUUGAUACGCAGCUCUCCUGCGUGUUCAAGAAAAAAAAUGAAAUCAUUGUAUCGUUGAAUAAUGUAGAAGCAGUGGUGUUGCAUUGGCUCUAUCUCAACAGAAGUGAAUUCCCUAUAGGAGAAACUUUCACAAAUAGUCUAGGAUUUGGAUCAUAAUACAACAGUCUCCACGUAGAGCGAAAUUCCUUUCGAUAGUAGAAAUCAUGAGUCGUCAUUGACCAACCAUGUGCGGCUGAAGUAAGGAAUAAUCAACGUGUGAGAUCAUCUUUGUUUUUCAAAAGCUUCACGUGAAGCCACACUGAGGAGACAAUUGGCAAGUCUGAAACCUGGCAACACAAACCAGACGGACACACCAAAUUCUUUGAAUAAUCCACAGUGCCAGCAAAGCCUCAACAUGUGCAACUGACCUCUAAUUUGAAGUGAAAGCAAAUGCUUGAUAAAUGACGAUACACCUGAGUCAGUUGUGAACACCCAUACUACAACUACAGGUGAUUUACUUGGCCUAUUCAUGAAACUGAAGAAGUUCUAAAUUCUAAUCAGCGAAUGUUGAAAUCCAAUCUUUAGGUUUAUAUAAAAGUGAUCAGGUUUUCAUUCCCUGUCUUGCACCACGAUUUCCAUCAAGAAAUCGAACGCUGGAUUGCGACCAAUGACCAUGUUAGCUAAAAAUAAGCUAAAUUCACAAUUAGGAUCAGCCAUCUUAUUUGUACUGUGUAUGUUAAAAAAAACUGUGGUCCGCAUUGGUACAAAUCAAGCCUUGUAAAACUCGUGUGUGUAAGAGAAAUCAGGACCAUUUACACAGAUGUUUAGCAUGAGCAUAAAUUGGCAAACUAGGUUAUGGCAAAAAAAAAAAAAAAAGGGACACUGGCAUGUUAUUUCCCAGAGUUGAAGCUCGACUGGAGCCAGGAUACAUGGUGAUGCAGCUUUUGCGGAUAUUGCUGACACUGGCACCUCCUGCAGAUUAUUGUGUCGCUUGGUAGUGGACCAUGGGAUGAACUGUUCGGCGGUGGAAAUGCGCCUGCUUUUGCGGUGGCAGCCGGUGCAUCUUUCAUCGGUGGGCUGGUGGCUAUUCUGGGGCUUCCACGAGCACGCAUUGCAUCGUCGAGGAGGAGAGGCGGCGGGACGCACCGAUAAGUUGCCUAGCCACCAUUGUUACAUACAUGCUGUGGAGGUGUUGCAAGCAACUUGCAACGAUUCUUUGCGGUUGGUCGGGUUGGGCACACAUCCAAGUCCUGCACUGCACGCUCAUGGGGGUGUCCUUUCCUUUUUGGUGGUUUGCCCUGUUGAGCUAUUUUUUGCCUUGUCUCUCCAUCAUUUGUUGUGCUUUAUUUACGUACAUGGAAGGAAUGUAUGUAUAUGUGUAUGUAUGUCAGGAGGUUAAUUAUAAUUGAGUAAUAAAAGUUACAUGAGUUACGAUUUACUGGCAGGGCUGCUGUUGUAUGUGUACUCCAUACAGAGAGAACAAUAGCAGAGCAGGCAGCUAGUGUCGUCCCUAGUACUAAAACCUCACUGAUUUUGCGGUAUGAUGUCCAGUUCCAGUUGCAACGGCACGCCGGGCGUGGGUUGGAGAACCUGCACCUGCCCGGGAAGCGCCGCCGACAGCUUGGCCUCGAAGGACUGCGUCGUCCCCUGUUUGGAGAUGACGGCGGCCAGGAGUCCGCCGGCGUCCACGUCGCCGUUGCUCAUGGGGACCACGUACCUGGCUCGCAGCAGGCUGGCCAGGCGGACGGCGUCCUCCUGGCCGGAGACGAGGGUGAAGUUGGCCGGAAGCAGCUGCUUCACCACCGGCGUGAUCACCACGUCCGCCUGCAGCUGCCGCCUCUUGUCCGGGAGGAAGAAGGAGCUGUCGUCGUACACGCAGUGCGGCUCGUAGUAGAGUAGGCCGUGGCCACCGUCAUCUGCGCCGGCGAUGAGGACGUAGCCGUUCUCGGGGCGCUGCCACGGCGGGCCCAGCACGGGGCCUGCGGUGGCCACCACCCGGAGCUGGGCGUUGACGGCGGUGGACUGGCCGGGCUCGAGGUAGGUGACGCGGCGGAAGGGCGUGGGCAGGGAGGCGAGCACCGGCUGCGCGUUGGGGGUGGUCACCACCGGCAGCUCCGGCGCCCGGGCGGACAGCUGCGUCAGCGUGCGGACGUGGCAGUGGUCGUCCAGGCUCUGCGUGAUGAGCAGCAGCCCCGGCUCCAGCGCCAGGAGGUCGUCCACGCCCAGGGCCUUCACCUUGGGGUUCUUCUUCGCGCCGUCGAACAGCCAUGGCGCGCCGAAGUCGAGGUUGCCGACGACCAGGGGGUCCACCAGGAUGCGCAUCGGAGAACUCUGGCCCUGGCCCUGCUGCUGCACCUCCCACACCCAGCUGUUGAUCUCCAGAUACGUCAGCUCGAGCGUCACCACCUUAUUGCCCUUGCUGAUGGUCGACGACGACGAGGAGCUACUGCUGCUGGCUGCUACUAUUGAUGAUGAUCUUGUUGGAUCUGGACGCCGGCUCCAAGCCAGGCGACGAUGAUGAUGGCAAGGAGAAGAAGCAGCGACUGGCGCGGCGGUGGGGCUGGAGAGCACCUGGAGCCGGCCGGCCAUGGCCAUCAUCUGAAAUUCUGAAUCCGGCGAUGGAGAGAGAGAGAGAGAGAGAGAGAGAGAGAGAGAGAGAGAGAGAGAGAGAGAGAGAGUGGAGGAGAGGGGACUCUGCUCCAGCACGCAGCACCCACCAGAAAGAAAACUAGUGGUUGUGGCCUUGUCUGGGCUACGUGUUCCGUCCGUCCGUCCGCUUGCUUUUUCUUGGUCAUCUUGGUCAUCAUCAUCAUGGGCCUAGCUACAGGCCCGAAUCGUGGGCCUCGGUGUCUGCAUAUAAUGCUUAUCUGAUGCGUUUAGGUCAGUUUUGAAACUAAAGCUAAUUCUAACAGCAAGCCCACCACAAGCCACUCUAAACAAAAAUUAAAAUAAACAUACAAAAUGUAAGAAUGCUCAGUUAACACUAGUUGUUAGCACCAGAAGAACCAAGUGAGGGACAUGCCGCGUCCAGUAUUAAGGCAUGAGCAAUGCCCACGGCCUUUGGCGGCUUUCUUGCGGGCCUGGAACUGUCGCCUCCGGCCUCUUGUGGUCCUGCCUAUUGGCACUUGGGGCUUUGCUUGUUGCCUGCAUCUUGCUGCUUCCUGGUCCAGGCAGUUAACCCAUCGACGGCCUGCGGUUGGAUGCCCCUCCCUCCUGUUUGCUUGCUGCCUGCAUCUUGCUGCCUGGUCCAGGCAGUUAAGCAAACAGGCCCUUGCAGCGUCGGCGCACGGGACCCUCUUCGCCCGCCUCCAACCUAGUCUCCUGGUUCUCAAAUGACGAGAAAAUCACGGGUUUUUUAAUAAUGAAAUGAGACUCUAUAUUCAUUACUAACGACAAUGUACUACAUGAGAAUAUAUGUUCAUUACUGUGUAAUUUGGAGGUUAAAAAGGUUACUUGUUAAUAAUACUUUAGCAGCGAGGAUGCUGCCAAGGAUGGACGUGGUAGAGAUAUUAAACAUUAUCGCCUGCUGGAGCUGGUUGUUAAGGUCAGCUGUGCCGGGGUCAAAUUAAUCACAUCACAUCCAACCACAUGCCUUUUCUCUCCAACGGAGACAUCAAGCUCAUAACUCACAUGUUCAUUAGCAAUUAGCAUGCUCAUCUCAUCCCAUUAGCAUGUUCAUUAGCAAUUAACAAUGUCCACCAUAUUCAUCAACAAAAAAGCGAACUCAUCAGGAGGUGGUGCCUGAGCUCACGCAAUUGAAUACGACGACAUCUUAGCGCUAACUUAUAACAGACUACAAGAGGAAGAGGCUUCUCCUCCUCCUCUCCUGGCGAGGUUUCUGCUUCUCAGUCUUUCAGCCAAGCCAAGCAAAGCCCAGGCGUUGCUCCUCCUCCUCCUCCUCCCAUCCAUCCAAGGGAAGGGAUGGGUGAGCCUGAGCCCGACGACGCCGUGCUCUUCGUCGGGGUGUCGCUCGUGCUGGGCAUCGCCUCCCGCCACCUCCUCCGCGGCACCCGCGUCCCCUACACCGUCGCCCUUCUCGUCCUCGGCGUCGCGCUCGGCUCCCUCGGUAAGAGAUGCGAUUCCAUUCCCCCCCGCCCUUCUCUUCCCGUACCUGCAAUUCAGUCACUCAUCUGCUACAGUGAUAGUAAAUAGUAAAUACACUCUGAUCACCAUGAACAAUUCUCUCCUUUUACUUUCCUCGCCUUCCAGAGUACGGAACACACCAUGGUCUAGGCAAACUUGGAGCUGGAAUUCGUAUCUGUAAGUUCCUAAUUCAUCCUAAUAAAUACUUCAAUUCAUUCCACAUCUAGGCGAGGUAAGGUGAUCUACCUGCUUUUCCUUCUCUUACUUAAUUAUUAGAGUUAUCCUUCCAAUAAAAUUAUUAAAUUGCAGGGGCCAACAUAAACCCUGACCUUCUGCUGGCUGUUUUUCUACCUGCACUCCUCUUUGAAAGCUCCUUCUCCAUGGAAAUACACCAAAUAAAGGUACACACUCUCUGUUUAUCCAUGCACCAUGGAAAGCCAUUCUAGUUUGGAAUUACGGUUCAUAACUCCCUGAAAAAGCAGAUUGCUAUGAAAAAGCCACUAAUUAGUCUUAUAAAUUCUGUUGUGUGGGGUUCUCAAUCUGUUGGGAUACCUCCUGUAUCUUGUGUAGUGCUGUAUACUCAACCUGCAGCUGAUGCAUCAUAUUUGGUCCUCUGUUAUCACCGCUUCUAAUAAAUAAUAAUGCUGGCUAUGGAUCUCUUCUGCUGUGAUUUUCUUUAGUAGUCCACAUAUGUUUGUUGAGUGUAGACUACAAUGCUUAUUUUGCAGAGAUGUAUGGCACAAAUGGUGUUACUUGCUGGACCCGGCGUUCUAAUAUCAACAUUUUUACUUGGCGCUGCUGUAAAGGUAUGUGCUUAGAGAGAUGAUGAGACAUUAUUUAAUAUAUCCCAAUGCUUCCUAACUGGUGUCCCACAGCUCACUUUUCCUUACAACUGGAGCUGGAAAAUAUCAUUGUUACUUGGUGGACUGCUUAGUGCAACUGAUCCUGUUGCUGUGGUUGCACUGCUAAAAGAACUUGGAGCAAGUAAAAAGCUCAGUACAAUCAUUGAGGGUGAAUCCUUAAUGAAUGAUGGGUAAGCUACUUGAACAAAAUUGUGCAAUCAGUAGUAUUGGACUCUGGAAGAGGGUAUGGAGAUGAACCCUAUAAACUGGAGUUCCUGUUCUAGUCACUACUAGGUCGAAAAAAUAUCCAUGCUAAAACUAAAUUUGAAAGUAUUUGCAGAAUCGUGCUAAAAACCAAAGCUGCCAAAGCUUUUAUAGUCAAUUGUCAUAUUAGAAACUGUCACACUAUUUAUAUAAGUUAAAAUCCGAAAUUCAAGAUUUUGUUAACUAUGCACUGUCCUUAUUUGAGCAUACAGGACACCCUUGACUAGUUGCUAUGGAAUUCAUUCUCCUCAUUGUAUGUAUUAGUCAUAUUGGGGUAAUGUGGUAUAUUAAGGAUACCUCAAAAUAUUAAAAUUUCAAGUUCAGUUAUGAAAUCUAUAAGAGCUUCAAUCAUCCUAAAUAACCACAAAUUCUACAGGACUGCUAUUGUUGUCUAUCAGCUGUUCUAUCGAAUGGUGCUUGGAAGAACCUUUGAUGCUGGCGCAAUAAUAAAGUUCCUGUCAGAAGUUUCACUUGGAGCGUAUGUGGGAUUUCUUUAUUAAAUUCAAAGUGAAUUAUAUGUCUAUGUGCUUAUAAUUCUAAUUAGUAUCUUCUUUGACCAGUGUUGCUCUGGGCCUUGCAUUCGGAAUCGUAUCAGUACUGUGGUUGGGAUUUAUUUUUAAUGAUACAAUCAUAGAGAUUGCGCUUACUCUUGCUGUCAGCUAUAUAGCUUUCUUCACUGUAAGGCCAUGCCACUUCAGGAGUCCUUACUUCCCUCUAUUUUCUCAGAGGCUUUGCUGUUGUUAAUGUUCAUUUAUAUCAGGCACAAGAUUCACUGGAGGUCUCUGGUGUUUUGACUGUCAUGACACUGGGAAUGUUAGUAAAUUUGUGCUGACAAAUAGUUUUGCAUUUUUAAUACUACUACUCUUGUAUUAACCAUGUCACUUGGGCAGGUUCUAUGCAGCUUUUGCAAAAACUGCUUUUAAGGGCGAAAGUCAGCAAAGUUUACACCAUUUCUGGUAUGUUAGAGAAACAAGUCACUCUAUUAUCAACGGACAUAAAUAUUCUUGACAAAUUCUUGACCUAGUAGUUGUGUAUCUGUUCCGUGUAUUCCAUAAGUUUUUUAUGCUGUUCAUGUUUACUUUCUUUCAGCAUUACUUCAACAGGAUUACUAUUUAAAUCUAUGUGCUGUUGUAAAGGCACAGCUUUAUUGUCAGCGUCCAAGUGCCAGCUUUUUUUAGCACCUACUUUAACAAUGAUUUGUUAAAUCUCCUUAGCAUAGAACUUCAUCAUUUAUGUCCUAGAACAUUUAGCAGCAUUUGAAUAAAUCGUAUGCUUUGGAGCCCUCCACUUAAAACUUCUUAAUGCAGUGAAACAGUACUCCUGUGUGUCCAAGAAAAAAUAUAUUCAUGGUGGUCAUUGAACUUGCGACAUGGGUUGGGUCUCUGUACUCCUACGAUGCACAAUAACAUGAGAUAUCUUAAUUUUCCCAGCUGGUUCCCUCCACUUGCUAUAUUGGAGCAAGGGGCUUUGACCUGCAAAAUUAGCUGCCAAGGCUAUGUCAACUUUUCUGAAACCUAGCUAAUCACUAUAAAACCAAAAGUAAGCCAUAUUCUCAGCCCUCUUCCUCGAAUCCUGCUUUUCUACCCCGAGCAGGCCAAGCCAGUGCCAGAGAUGAAGCAAGUGGCGUGGAUGACUAAUGUUACCAGCUUUUUUCUUUUCCUUUUGUUGGGUGGGUUGGGGGUGAGGGGGUGACGGAGGGGGGGGGGGGUUGUUCGAGGGGAGAGGGUGGUCAAUGUUUGCUACUCCUUAAGCGUUCAUCUCAUAGGUCCUGUGUGCCAAAGCAAGGUUGAGUCAUGGUAGUGGAAUUGGAACUACUUAAUACUUAUUGCACUUCAGAAACUAAUUCGAGGGUCCUCCCUGCUAUUUAUUAGCAAUUUUAAUCUGGACCUGUAACCAACAAAAAGUAAACUAAUAAAACCAUAAAAAUACACAAGCAUUAUUAUCAAAUGUUCGCAUGGAAUUAUUCCGUCAGCACUCAUAGUGUCACUGAAUGCCUACCCUAGUUUUGUUGAUGAAUAAUUUGGCCAUUGUUAUUUUCUAGUACCUUGCAAUCUUCUCAGUUGACACUGAAUUAAGGUAGCCUAAUCUUGAUAUUAUUUGAUACACAUCAAAUAAUGGACUCUUUUACUUCUUUAAGUUAUGUACAUGAUCAUGUAUAUAUUCUAUAAGAUAGUCCUUUAUUUUUAUGAUAUUUUAGUAUAUAUAUCUGAUCUGAGUUUCAUGUUUGCUUGCUGUUUUUCUUGUAUUCAGGGAAAUGGUUGCUUACAUUGCAAACACACUUAUUUUUAUACUGAGGUAUUGGCAGCUCUUCUGUACAUGUGGGAAAAAUAUUAUUUGAUUUUUCUGUUUAUGUCCAGCUGAUCCAAACUUCUAGGUGUUUUGAUUGUAUGCUUCAUAACGACACAUCUGUAAAAUUUCUUACUUGUGAAUCCCCUUCAGUGGGGUUGUUAUUGCAGAUGGUGUUCUACAAAAUAAUGUCCAUUUUGAGACGCAUGGUAUGCAUCAUGUACCCCCUGAAAUGUCUUCUGCUGUUUGGUGGAUUUAUUUUUGAGGCUCAAAAUUGAUUAUUUAAAGUUCAAAAUUUAUUGAAGACCCAACGCAACUAUUUCAGUUUUUCAUGAAUACACAAGGAUGAGCUCUCAUUUGUGCUUAGCUCAGGCUUUGAUGCAACAUAUAGAUAUCCACCUGAAUUAAUUAACAUCAUCUCAGCUUUGCCCAUAACCAUUGACACCUUUGUUGCUUCAAAAUCUCUGGAAAAACCUUGGUGAACUAAAGAAAAAUUUACUUUUCUAGUUCUGAUAGUGAGUUAUUCCAUGUUCAUCAUAGUGGAAUGAAUAACAUGCUGUUAAUGUGCUAUUAAAGAUAAUAGGAUCCCUCUGCCCUGCUGCUGAAUUUUGGUGCCAUAGGAUUGCACUUCUUAUUCAACUGCAAUCAGCCGAUCCUUCAAACACUUGGCAUUUGAUUAGUAAAAAAACUUGAACGUUUCAUCUUGGGUUAGAUACCAUUGCUACAAAAUCAUGUUUUUCAUAUGAUUCAAGUGUUACAAUUUGAUAAUAUUUCUUAGUUCUGAUAUGAGCUUUCUGUACUAUGAGCUUAAUUCUAUUAAACCUCAUUAUGUGUACAUUCAUUUUAUCUCUUGGCUCUUGUAGGCACUUCGUGGGGCUUCCUUCUUCUGCUCUAUGUCUUUGUGCAAAUAUCCCGACUUAUAGUUGUUAGUGCUUUGUACCCAUUGUUGCGUCACUUUGGGUAUGGGUUGGACUUGAAAGAGGCCAUGAUUCUUGUUUGGUCAGGGCUGCGAGGAGCUGUUGCUCUGUCACUAUCGUUAUCUGUUAAGGUAAGUUAGUUUCAUUUGUGUACCAAUGAACCCUUUCAUUUGUGCUUCAUUUUCAAGUACAUUAGUCUACUACAGAGUUUUCUAACGCAUUUAUUGGAAUACUUUUAAUAGCGUACCAGUGAUGCAGUUCAACCUUAUAUUAAACCGGAAGUUGGAAUGAUGGUAUGCCCCUUUUUGUGUGUGAAAGUGCCAAAUAUCUAGUUUUGGACUUUGCUAAUGUUAUAUCUUAUGCAGUUUGUGUUCUUCACUGGUGGCAUCGUGUUUCUAACAUUGAUUUUUAAUGGUUCAACCACACAAUUUUUGUUACGUAUGCUUGGCAUGGACAAACUGUCAGCCACAAAGGUUAGCUUCACAAAUUGCCAUCUACCAAUUCCAGCUUGGUAUUUAGGUUUUGCUUGUUUUAGAAAUCUUUUGAGUUUCAUUUAUAUCCAUCUGUCCUCUAUCUUCGACUAAUUAUUACUUUAUUAGUGAAGUACCCAUCUGUCCUCUAUCUUCGACUAAUUAUUACUUUAUUAGUGAAGUGGUGAAGGCAAUGUUUUAUGUGCUGCCACUUAGCCUAAUGCCUUCAAUAUAUCAAGGUUAACGGUCACCAGUUGACUCACAAAAGCUAGACUUAACUCUAGAAUAUCCAAGCCUCCAAGGGGGAAAAACGUGGAGAGACCAAUUAAACUCUAGAUGCUAUCGAUGAGGCAACAAAGAGAAGAAUAGAUUAUCCCAUAUUCCUAGUUCUCUUCUACAAUAUUUUUCCAUAGGACACCACGUGCACAGAUUAAGAAAGUACUAGUUUCAAGAAAAAAAACAAUGUGAAAUGACCGUCCUUGCACCUACUAAAUGCCAUAGUACGAUAAUUUCUCUUGUACCAGAGCAUGUUAUUGGGGUUAGUGAGUGGAAAUAUUGCAAUAACUAAUCCUUUAUAUCCUCAAUGGACAAACAUUGUGGAACGUUUUCUGCCGAGGCCAUUGACAAAUAUUGUGGAAUGGAGGGAGUAGUGCUGUUAUGAAUAGAAUUUGUAUUCAAUAAUAGCUCCAUGAGGUAAUAGAUAGGAGUACAUGAAAAAGAGAUGUAAAGGACUCUACACUGUUAACACCCCCUCCCCCUCUGAAAUAGAAGACAUAUGCAAUAGGGUUUCAUUUGAAACAGUUGACAGUAAGGGCCUGUUUGGCAUGGCUCCAACUCCAAACUCCAGUCUAGAGCUGAGUGGGGCCAGCCAAACACCCCUACUCCACAAAAUUUGUGGAGCAGCCCAACUCCAUGGAGUUGGUUGAGCUGUAGUUCAUUCUUUUGGAGCACCCCUUUUGCAACUCCAGGUUAGACAUAAUGCAAAAAACUAAUACAUUCAACUCUGCAAAAAUUUCAUCAAAGCAUGGAGCCUUAGUGACCAAUGAAUCUAGGUGAAGAAGUGCAAAAGAAAGCAUAGAAGCUGAGUUAUGGCGAUGACAACAAAAGAAGAGAUUGCGCAAAAUAAAGACAAUAAGAGAUUAGCCAAAACGAAAGGCAAGCACAAGGAAAAAACAGCUGACUACCAAGAAAUACGUGGACUUGCAUGGCAAAGAUGAACACAAUGAGAUAUUUGACUUGGAUGGACACAACAGAAGAAAGGCUAUGAAGAGAGAGCUAAAGAUAGCCACAGUAGAAGCAUGGUAGGCUCGCAGCACGGCUAUCAGCCAAAGGACCGUCACAGGCUCACUGCUCCAUAUGAAGCAAUACGAUUUAGCUGCCCCCAAGAAGUGCUGUUGAUGAGGCACGACGUAGUGACGCGAAGAACAAUGAGGCCUCACCCGAGAAUUGAAGACAGUCCCCGAAGGUGAGCGACAGUGGAAGAUUGAAAAAAACCCUUAAAGCUAACCCAUCUCAGAUACCAUGUUAUGAAUAGAACUUACAUUGAAUUAUAGCCUGAUGGGGGCAACAUACAGGAAUACACAUCCCUCCCUCCCUCUCUCUGACAACGUUCCCCAAACCAAAUGUAAUCCCAAGUGAUUAACAAAGGUAGCUGAAAAUCAAGGGCAACUGAUUUCCCCUCUUUAGCUGGAAAUAUCAUAACAUGCUGAUCUGUUGCUAUGAAGAAAACGACCACCAAAACAUUGGGUUCCAUUUGGAUGCUAUAAUUCCUCUCUGAACAAGACUAAUAUUACACUUAUUUGUGAAAAGUGGAUUAAUAAUUUUGCAUGCUUUGUUCAGGAUUCCUUUGUCACUAUCAUUAAGGAAGCCUCUUCAUUCACCAACUUCUAGCUGUCCCAGAUUGUUACUGAUUUAUUGCUUCCAUAAGCACAACUAGUGCUCAUUUAUGAAUAUAUGUUCACUUCAAGCUCCAGAUAAAGACUAAUAUGUUUUUUUGCAGCUUCGCGUAUUGAAGUAUACAAGAUAUGAAAUGCUAAACAAAGCAUUAGAGGCUUUUGGUGAGCUUAGGGAAGAUGAGGAACUAGGACCUGCUGACUGGGCUACUGUAAAGAAACAUAUCACAUGUUUGAAUGACUUGGACGAUGAUCCAGAGCAUCCCCAUGAUGUUGGUGACAAAGAUGACCACAUGCAUACCAUGAAUUUAAGAGAUAUUCGAGAGAGGCUUUUGAAUGGUAUGUUAUCGCUUAUCAUUUUACUGAUGAAAAAUAUUGUGUAAAGGUAUUGAAGUGAUGUAUUAACAUAUCCAAUCAGCAUAGGUUCUCUUCCCUUUUGUGAUUAAGGCCUUUUAUAAAUAUUUUCUUAGGCUUAAUGUAAUUUAUUUUCAUAACCCUUUUAGUUAACUUAUUCUAUGACCACUGGUACUAUUCACAUGCGGCUCCUAGAGUGGAUAUCUGCGGCGAGUUAGUGAUACUUAGCUUCGCAAAAAAAGAAGAAUUAGUGAUACUUAGGCUUCAAGGUUGGACCCUAUUAGAGUAUGUAUACUCAUGUUUCUUGUACACCAAGCCUAUAUGGCUAUAUAUAUGAAAGGUCACCCCCCCUCCAAGGGCGUGCGGUGUUUCCUAUCUCUCUACAUGGUAUCAUGAGUCCGGGUACCCCCUGAUUCGUCCACCCUUCUGCUGCCCUAGCCGCCGUGCGCUUCGCACGCGUGCCACCCACCAGCAACACCGAUCCUCCUGGCACCGCCUUCUCCACCCCCUGCCGAUCCAAUCUGAUCAGCAGGCCUUCUCCUUCCUCCCCUGCAUGGCAACGUUCAGGCCCCUCCAAGUGAAUUUUUGAACACAAAUUUCACUCAGAUGACACUCUGGCUCGGCACAAGGCGCGUUGGGUAGACUGUGGAUUCUCUCAGCAUUAUGGGAUUGACUAUGACGAGACAUUCAGCCCGGUCGUGAAGCCCGCCACCAUACGGAUUGUUCUGAGCAUUGCUGUCUCUUGUCAGUGGCCGAUUCAUCAGCUUGAUGUGAAGAAAGCCUUUCUCCAUGGCCAUCUUCAUGAGACCGUCUAUUGCCAACAGCCUCCUGGAUUUGUUGAUCCUUCAGCGCUAGAUCAUGUGUGCCUACUGCAGAAGUCGCUCUAUGUGCUUAAGCAAGCUCCUCGCUUCUGGUAGCAGCGGUUUGCCACUUAUAUUCACCAGGUGGGAUUUGUACCAUCGCCCUCCGACACAUCGCUGUUUGUCUUCAUGGAUGGUGCCAGUAUUGCAUACCUGCUGCUCUAUGUCGACAACAUUGUUCUCACUGCCUCAUCUGUAGACGUGCUUCAUCAGAUCAUCACUCGACUCCACUCGGAGUUUGCCAUGACCGAUCCUGGGGUCCUCCACCACUUUUUUGGCAUCUCAGUCACUCGCACCUCCGAUGGCUUGUUCCAGCGACAAUAUGCAGUUGAUCUUCUCCAGCGCGCCGGUAUGGCUGACUGUCAUCCCACGUCGAUGCCAGUGGACAGCAAGUCCAAACUCUCUGCUGCUGAUGGUGCCCCCAUUACUAAUUCAUCGGAGUACAGGAGUCUUGCCGGAGCCCUUCAGUAUCUUACUUUGACUCGCGCUGAUUUGGCCUAUGCUGUUCAACAAGUCUGCCUCUUCAUGCAUGAUCCGCGUGAGCCUCAUCUUGCAUUGGUCAAGCGUACCCUUUGCUAUGUGAAGGGCACAUUGGACGCUGCUGGUCCCGUUGAUUCUCUCAUGGCCUAUUCAGAUGUGGAUUGGGCAGGCUGCCUCGACUCGCGGUGCUCCACUUCUGGCUACUAUGUCUACCUCGGCGAUACUUUGGUGUCUUGGUCCUCCAAAUGCCAAACCACCGUCUCCUGUUCCAAUGCAGAGGCGGAGUACCGGGCUGUGGCUCAUGCAGUUGCUGAGUGCUGUUGGAUGCGCCAGCUCCUUCAGGAUCUUCAUGUUCCUAUUGCUUCUGCGAUGGUUGUCUACUGUGACAAUGUGACCGCUGUCUAUAUGACCGCCAAUCCCGUCCAUCAUCGUCGCACAAAGCAUAUAGAGAUUGAUAUCCACUUCAUCCGUGAGAAGGUCGCGCUCGGGUAGGUCCGUGUUCUCCACAUCCCCUCAGCGCAUCAGUAUGCGGACAUCAUGACAAAAGGUCUCCCUACAGUUGUUUACUGACUUUAGGACCAGUCUUGGCGUUCGCCUAACUCCCCUUGCGAUUGCGGGCGGGUAUUAGAGUAUGUAUAGUUGUAUAUGUGUUGUACUCAUGUUUCUUGUACACUAAGCCUAUAUGGCUAUAUAUAUGAAAGAUCAUCCCCCUCCAAGGGCGUGCGGUGUUUCCCUAUGUCUCCACAGACCCCCUUUCUCGUGUAAAAGUGAUAAUCAUUUGAACAUUUGAUGUUUUCUAUGGGGAGAUCAAAACAUGGAAGGUAUAAUUGUUUUGCUAGAUCUUCCAGUCAUUUGGAGUUAAAAGUUGUUAUUUUUAUUUUUUCUAUAAUUAGAAUGCAAGAAGAAAUAUACAAAUUUUGGUGACCUUAGAGCAUUUACGAUUGGUACGAGGAAAUAUCCUCCGACUGGCCUGCCAAAGGAGAGUGUUGUAGCAUUGAUGCUCAGACCUGUACCCAUGCACAUACAGCUUAAUUGCUCUAAGGUUUCCUUAUCCAUACCUUCUUAUUGAAAUGAUAAAGUGAAAAAUACUGUUAUAUUCACCAUUUCUUGUUGACAUUAGCCUAUUGGAGCAGCUUACUAGUUACAAAAACAACAAAUCCUUUUUGUCCCAUUUUUCAUAGCUGAGUUUUAGGCCCUUCCACCUUUGUAGCUUGAUGAUACAUCAUCUGUCUUCUAAAUGAAUUGCUACGUUGCUAGUGAUAGUAUUGUUGGCAUGAGCUUGGCAUGGCGCAGCAGCAUCAACCAGAAGCAGCACUUAUCUUUAGUUUGUUUAGAUUGGUUUGUUAGAGAGAUAAGAUUUGUUAGGAAGAUAAGGUUAGUAAGUUCAGGUUGUUUAGUUUUCUAAAUCAGUCGGUUAACCAAAUCCAUAACAUUUGGGCCUCCGUUAUUUUGAUAUAUUUUCUUUUGCUGAGAAAUCUUUUAUCUGUUUGAUAUGUCUGGAGAUGUGACUGAUGUCCAUUUGCCCUUCAAUUUUUACACCCUUCUCAUUGCAUUAUGUAUUUAUCCAUAAACUGUUUGCUUACUGUUCCCUCAAUGGUUCUAUCUCCUAUAGUUAUGCAACUUAGUAAGUGUUGUUAUGAAUGUUUAUAGAGGAGACAAUUUAUUCGCACAUAUUUUUGAACAGGUGUGCAAGCCGCUUACUGGGGAAUGCUUGAAGAGGGACGAAUAACUCAAGCUACGGCAAAUAUUCUGAUGAGAUCGGUUGAUGAAGCUAUGGAUCUUGUUUCCAGACAACCAUUAUGUGAUUGGAAAGGUUUAAAGUCCAAUGUCCAGUUCCCGAAUUACUAUAGGUUCCUUCAGAUGAGCAGGUUGCCACGAAAGCUUGUCACAUACUUCACAGUUGAAAGAUUGGAGUCAGGAUGUUACAUCUGUGCUGCAUUUCUUCGUGCUCACAGAAUUGCAAGGCGGCAGUUACAUGAUUUUCUUGGUAAUGUAUUGGGAACUCUUGAUAUGUUCUUUCCUUCAAAUUACCUGUUAUUUCUUUGUGGUGCAAAAAGAGGGGGAAAAAAUCUAAGUGCUAAUUGCAUAUGAGAUUUACAUGUGCGGUGGACAUAUUGUUCUGUAGGUGUACAUUGUUUUUGACCUGUAGAUCAUAAAUGGCAAGAGAAAGCAGACUUUAAGAAGGGUUUACCUUUACCAUAAAAUCUGUUAAAUCAUUUAAUUGUCAAACUGACUGUGACUUAUACCGGAGAGCUUUAUUGAUCUAGUGGAUAGGAACAAUGGCGAGGUUGGCCCAGUUCUACCUCCAUUGGGGCUCUGAACCUUGGAGACUAAUCCUUGCUUAGCAAACUCAAUUGUCUCUCUGGCUUAUAUAAGGCCGAUCCUAACAAACUCACUAAAAACCAAAGGAUAACAAUGGCCUAAGACUCUGCCGCUGACAAACUGAAUUCGACUGCUAGUUUUGUGGAGCUGCAGCCGACUUCUUGUUGUGUCGCUUGUGCUGGUAGGUGCGCCCAACAAAGGUGUCCACAACACAAACUAUCAGGUCAUUUGGGGUGACAGAGCCCUCUUCACUGCAAAACCACUUUAUAGGCCGGAAUUGUUGAUGGGUCAAACUAUGUUAGCUCAAUGAGGACGAACCUGGAGGAAGUUCAAUUUAUGUUUCAGUUACUUCGAAGAUUGAAAAUGUCAUUCCUUUAUGGUUUUGGAUGCAUCCACCUUUUAUUCUGUUUUGUAGAUAACCUGACUUCAAUCUGCUGAUAUGAUGCUAAUGCCCUUCAACUUCCCUAUUUAUUAUUUGUUGUCUUAUUCUCUCGUCAGGUGAUAGUGAGGUUGCAAGAAUUGUUAUUGAUGAAAGUAAUGCUGAGGGAGAGGAAGCUAAAAAAUUCUUGGAAGAUGUUCGAGUUACAUUUCCACAGGUUUGUGGUUACAAUGUGCUUCUGUCAUUUCAUUCAACUGCUGUGGUACCUUCAGUUCCUACAUGAAAUCUUCAUAAAAUAUUCACAUAUCAGUUUUAUUUUUCAUAAAACAUGGGGAAUAAAGUGCAAAACCAAUAUAGUAACGAAGAGAAAGAUCAUUGCAUAAACAAACUGAUAAAUUGCACUAUCAGAUUUUGAAACUUUGCCCCCAAUUUUCAGGUGCUGCGUGUGCUAAAGACACGGCAAGUCACAUAUUCCGUAUUGACACACUUGAGUGAGUAUAUUCAAAACCUCCAGAAGAUUGGGUUGCUGGAAGAGAAGGAAAUGGUCCAUUUAGAUGAUGCUUUGCAGGUAGAUGGAAUAUGCAACUUAUCAUUUGUUAUUCUCCCUCUGGAAACAGUUUGCAAAUUGCAAUAAAUAUUCUAAACUCCAGUAAGCUAAUUGACUUGGCAGACGGACUUGAAGAAGUUGAAGAGGAAUCCACCGCUAGUGAAAAUGCCAAGAGUUAGUGAGCUUCUAAACACUCAUCCUUUGGUAGGCGCACUGCCGGCUGCUGCACGUGAUCCUUUGCUAAGCAAUACAAAGGAAACUGUACGAGGACAUGGCACAGUCCUAUACCGGGAAGGCUCAAGGCCAACUGGUAUAUGGCUUGUUUCUAUUGGUGUAGUAAAGGUCUGUUUGUGCCUCAACAACACUGAUGCAUCUUGGUUGGCGUCUGUUCCGAUUUUGUUCUAAUGUGCUUAUGACUUCCCCCCCCCAACAGUGGACAAGUCAAAGAUUAAGCAGAAGGCAUUCCUUGGAUCCAAUUUUAUCACAUGGAAGCACUUUGGGUCUGUAUGAGGUGCUGAUCGGAAAGCCCCAUAUAUGUGACAUGAUCACAGAUUCCGUGGUACAUUGUUUCUUCAUCGAAGCUGAAAAGAUAGAGGAGCUGCGUCAGUCAGAUCAUUCAAUUGAACUUUUCCUGUGGCAGGUAAUACAGUACUGAUUUACAUAGUGAAGUUUGCGUCAGAAUCUGUAUCUAAUGGCGCUCAAUCGAAUGGAAAUCGCAGGAAAGCGCUCUGGUCAUUGCCAGGCUCUUGCUUCCUCAGAUAUUUGAGAAAAUGGCAAUGCAUGAGAUCAGGGUUCUUGUUGCUGAAAGGUCGACGAUGAACAUAUACAUCAAGGGGGAAGACAUCGAACUUGAGCAGAAUUACGUUGGCAUUUUGCUGGAAGGAUUCUUGAAGACCAGGAGCCAGCUGAUCACGCCUCCUGGGGUGCUUCUGCCAUCAAAUGCUGACUUGAGCUUAUUUGGACUCGAGUCCUCAGGUUUCCAAGCAAUCCUCUCACCUCCUCAUAUACGUUCAAAAGAAAAAAAAAGGGAGAAAAAGAAAGGAUUCUGAGUUUUUUUUUCAUGCUUGCAGCCGUGAAUCAUAUAGACUACUGUCAUAAUGCACCCAGCUACCAAGUGGAGGCUAGAGCGCGGAUCAUCUUCUUCGAUAUGGUCAGGACCUCCGAGGCAGAGGCCGAUCUUCAGCGAAGCGUGUCGCUGCUGUCUCACGGCCAUGAGCCACCACGAAGCGUGUCGCUGCUGUCUCACGGCCAUGAGCCACCACCACGGACAAUGAGCAAGGAGCACAGCGGCUUGCUGUGUUGGCCAGAGAGCUUCAGGAGGUCCCGGGGAGGCCACAGUGCCAGCCUAGCUGAGAUCAGAAACCAGCCGGGUAGCUUCUCUGCCAGGGCGCUGCAGCUGAGCAUGUACGGCAGCAUGGUGAACCUCACCUCUGGCCAGCAGGGUCACCGGCGGCAGAAGCCCCAUCGCAUGCCGGCGGCGAACCAUAGGCACAGCUCUUCCUACCCCCGGGUGCCGUCGAGGCCAUCCAACACGCGGCCUCUGCUCUCCGUGCAGUCGGAGGGUUCCAACAUGAAGCGAGUGGCGGCGCCGAAAGACGCCACUGCUGGCGAGGCCACAACUGCUGCUCCAGCGACCUCCGCAGGCCAGCAGCAACGGACGGCGGUGCAAGACGACAACUCGAGCGACGACUCCGGCGGGGAAGAGGUCAUCGUCAGAGUCGACUCUCCCAGCAUGCUCUCUUUCCGUCAGUCCGCCGCCGCGGUUCAUUCGCCGCCACCGCCGCCGCAGGACCAGUAACAUUGUUUUGUCCUGUAACAUGAGCGCAUCGUUGCUGCGUGUAUUGUAUAGCAAAAGUAAAAGGGACACAUUCUUCUCCCUUCACUUUGUAUUGAUACUCUGCUAAGUAGGGACAUCUCCAUGCUGUAUAUGCAGGGCCUUUUGGAAUCCUGGUUACAUGGAUUCUGAUACAUUUUUUCCCAUUGAAAUUCCUGGAAAAAUUCCUACGAUACCAAUAAUGACAUGAUGUAAAAAGCGCACUGCAAGAGGCACAUGACAGACUCAUUUUUAUUGGACCUGAGUAGCCCGGCUGAUAAGAAGCCUUUCCCCCCGAUUAACUUACGAGACCCCGACCUACAAUCAGGUUCAGAUACAUACAUCAGGAUUCAUCAUCUUCCAAGGACUAAGACACUGCCCUGUGGCUGAUGCUGGUAACAGAGGGACAAAAACUCAAAAUAUACAUCAAGAACAGCUAGGUCAGCAGCCGACGAUGUUAAGCCACGGUUCGCCCAUAGCAUAUCCCAGCAAGGUAGAGGUUCUUAGCCCACUUCUCCUGUGAUGCGACAGCCAAAGGAGCAAGUAAGAAAAAAACACACUAGUAAGGCUAAACCAAUCUGCAUACAACAACAGCUCGUGUGUCCUACCUUGACAUGUUGACUGGGAAACUGUGUAGUCCGCAGAGUCUCUUGUGUCUCAUCUCUUGGGCGACGCCUUGGCUUGCUUAGGAUCAGCGCAGAUUGGUCCAUUGUGGCAGCCAUAGCGGUAAUACGAUAGCCAUUGUCCCAGCGUCUAUGGAUGCCCUCGCUUGGGUAGAGGAAGUCCAAUUCCACAACCUGCAAGAGUUGCAAUGUUUUAAGUACAAUGAGAUCAAGGCACAAGGCACUUUGAGGCUAUUCCAUGAAUCAAAUACCAGACCUAACUAGAGUGAAAGUGCACCUAAGCAACGUUUAGAAAAUCACAUUACUAUCGGAACACUUUUACUGUCCUAUGCAAAUAGUGCAGCAUGAACGAAAAUAUUAAAACCUCUAGGACAAGAUGUUGUCUACUGUAUAUGGAGUUUAGCAUCUGUGCAAACAUCUCACCUGCUCAGAAAAUCCAGCACUGCGGGACAUGACUAUAGCCCAUCGACUGCCUGAUGUUGCCAUUGAAGUCACGUGAAAACCUUCCUUCCACUUCUUGUUUAUCCAUUUAAACGGGAAGGAAUCACUGACUUUGUAAGACUGCUGUGUAUAUGGUGUGCCUGGUCAUCAUUAAAUAGACAAAGUGACAAACAUACUAUGUUAGGGGACCAGCUAAAUAACUACUCCUUCCGUUCCAAAUUGUAGGUCAUUUUAGCUUUUUUAGGUUCAUAGAUAUUAUUAUGCAUCUAGAUAUAGUGUACGUCUAGGUGCAUAAUAAUAUCUAUGAACCUAGAAAAGUCAAAAUGAUAUACAAUUUGGAACGGAGGGAGUAUAUCUAUGAAAUACGGCAGUUGUAACCAAGGGAGGGAGUAUAUCUAUGAACGGAGGGAAAAGGAUAAGCACCAAGGGAUUGACAGGUAAUUCAGAUGAUAAGUAUAUCAAGGGUGUUUGAGCAGAUACUGAUCCUGCUGUCAAGCAACUGGCGAGGCCUUAAGUUCAAAGUGUUUUUUUCCCUCUUUGUUGCUCAGGUUUACUUUUGGUACAUUAUAAACUAUAGGGAAAAACAUGGAGUAGUCACAGAUAUACUGCAGCUGUCUAGUACAGGCAGAAAAGAAAGGGAUAAGCAUGUAAUGAACAUAUAUGCAGCAACAGCAACAACAAGUCCUAUUUGCCCCAAGCAAAUUGAGGGUAAGGUAAGUCACAAGAAAAAUAUCGAUACCUUUGGACAUCACUACAAGAGAACUUCCAUUGUUGGAGCCAGCAACAGAACUGAUGUAGAAACUUUUAUCCCACUGUUCCAUAAUCCAUUCCUGUUCUUGUGCAAAAAUUGAGAACGGCGAAAAAGAGUGAAUUACAUGAGGUGCAAAUGGGAAGGUCCUACCUUAUGAAGAAAGUGUGGAGACAGCUCAUAGACUUGAGCUGUGAAGCCAGUUCCUGCAUCCAUAAUGAUUGCCCAAAGAUUUGCACAUGAUGAUAUUGAACUUAUCAACAAACCAUCCUCAUUUCCUUUCUCCACAUGUUGUGCUAACCUUGUGUCAGCCACAUUAUAGUGGUACCUAUCAAUGGCAAAACUUAAUCAGCCUUUUAUACUGACAAAACACACAUAAAGGUGGUUGUGCAUCCAUGAAUCUAAAAGACGAUAGAAGAUAUAAACUACAUUCAGUCUUGCCAUGAGUGUUUCAACUUGGUUCCUUUCACUGAAUCAGAUUCUUUUUUUAAAAAAAAUUAUAAUCCAAAUAGUAAAAAUAGAGCUUGCUUUAAAAAGAAAAUCAGAACAAUACAGAGUGCACCAUGCUAAUAUAACUCUGCAUGGAUACUUGAAACAGAAUAUACAUACAGAAGCAAGUUAGCUUGAUAAUAAAACACUGACCUCUGUUUCAUAGGUGACCUUGAAUUGUAUACUGAAAUCCACUGUGUUGCCGGAGCACCCAACCGAAUCUUCUUUUUCACAUGGCCAUCAUCAUCAUUAAGCAACCUGGCACGCUUCUGCCCUACCUGCAGGGUGAACGUGUCCCAAAAAAAAGAAUAUAUAAACUGGUAUCUAUAUUUUUCAGGUUCAUUUCACUUAAACUCAAAUAAGUAUGUGAUGCCUGAAACGAACCUUUUGGGCUCCAUCAGUAUUGAUAGGCCUGAUAGAAGGGUUUGGUCCAAUUAAGCUAUCAAACAAAGAAAUCAAUUUGGAAUAGUUUGGCUCCUCAUCAAACUUCAUGUUGACAACAGUUUCGAGAAACUGUUUGAAAGGUUGAGGACAUAUGCCGCAAAGGCUCUCAGGUGAGGUACUCAUCUUCCUCUUGCACACCAAAAAUGAUUUAUUAUCACCCUGUAAAUACAAACCCACAAAAAAAGGAAGUUAAAUGGUCGAAACAAGACCACUCAAGAAAAAUGGCUCUGAAUGGAGACUGGAGAGAGAAAGAUAACAGAUUAGACAGUAAGAUACCUGGUAUCCUUGCCAUGGCAACCUGCCCCUAUGAAGAAAUACUAGUGUAUAGGCAAGUGAUUCCAAGUCAUCCCUCCUGCUAGCAGUUCUUCCUAAAUGUGCAUGGACACUAGCAUAUCUUACUGUUCCUCUAGAUUAUAAAGGCAAAAGAGAAGUUUAGACAGAGAACUAAUAUCAUAUUGAGCUGACAACUAUGAAACAUAGACGACAAAGCGACAAACCUAAAGGCAUCGGGACGUUGAUCAUAACCAACAUGCUGUCCACUAGCAGCAUCUCUCCACUUUGUUGCUGGCAAGUGAAAAUUAACACAUAAGCAGUUAAGAUGAUCAACACUGCCACCAGUAGUCUAAGAAAGGGAGGCGAUUUCACCAGAAUAAUGCAAGUGAAUAACAUAUUGGUCGGUACCGGCUUGUUUACCUAAUCCAAGAUCCACAAGAUAAAGUUUCUUUUCUUGAGGCGUUGAAGGCUGACCCAGAAGAAAGUUCUCAGGUUUGACAUCUCCAUGCACAUAUCUGAAAAGAAAAAAAAUAGAAGCAUAAAAAAAUGCCUGAUGAAUUAAACAUAGCUGUUAGGCAACCUUGAGAUGUCUGCCUACCCUUUAGAAUGCAUGCUUUCCAAGAUGGAAAUGGACUCCACGGCAAUGCAGGCCACCAUUUCCGAUGACAUGCUGGAAGUUUUCAUCACAAGUUAUUACAAACAGGAAGGGGAGAAAAGAAAGAAAAUUUCAAGGAAAGAGAAGUACUGGGAGAGGUGGUAGAGUUGAGGAACUCACGAUUGGCCUAAUGAAUUCCAAGAAUCCCACAAGCUAGGCCCCAGCAUAUCCAUAAUCUGAAAAAAGGAACCAAAUAAAUUAGAAGCGGCAUCCAUCCAUCGCAGAUUAGCAGCUGCUUGCAGGAGGCGGCAGGCAGAAAGGAGAAGAAUGGUACCAUGACAUAGUAGUCACCCUGGCGGCCUUUAUAAUGCACCUUGGGCACGCCGUGCGUGCCUCCUAGAGCACUGAUGCAUCAAUGAAAGGCAAGCACAUACAAAGGUCAUUAUCAGUAACGUAGUAGAACGGCAGCAUUGCCUGCGGUUGGUGGUGGAAGAGGAAGGCAACUUACGUGUAGACUUGCCAUUCGCAUGGAGGGCCGUAGCUACAGCCCUUGCUGCUAGUGUGCUCAAAUUUGAUGGCAACCUCUUGGGCAGCGGAAGCCGAGGAGCGUGCAGCGUGGGCAGCAGUUAGGCGUCGGCCAAGAAAGACAUGGCCGAAGCCACCUUUGCCCAGCUUCCUCUCGACCUUGUACUCGGGGGAUCCUCCGACCUGGACCUGGUAAGGGGAUCCUCAAUCAGAACCAUCAGGCAUGGAUCUAUCUAGAAACAAAGGAAAGAGGAGUAUAUAGAUAGAUACGGACGGUGUCGGGGAAAGGCGCGGUGUUGGCGUCGUCGUCGUCGUGGGCGGCGGCGGCGUUGUUGGCGCUAAGUCCGCCGCUGUCGGCCAUCCUGUUCCUCUGGUGGGGGUGGGUGGGGUUUGGUUUGGUCUUGUGAUCUUCCCACAAGGAACGGGGUUGGGGUUUGGGUCAGGACGGCGGGGUGCGGGGGCAUGGCGGCGGCGCCAUGGAAUCGCGGCGGAGCAUCAUCUAUCUAUUUUGAAGAUGGUGGAGCGAUCAAUCGGUCGAUCGAUCUACGACAUAAUAGGUAAGAUUGAGUUGUACUAGGUUUGAGCAGCAGCAAACUCGCAAUCGAUGGAUUGGGGAUUCCAGCUUGAACUUUACUUUACUUUACCUGGUGGAACGCCGCGGCCUCUGCGCGGCUCCGCCCGGGCUUCCGAGGAGCAGGAGAGGCGAGGGGGAAGGGGAUUGAUCGAUCUGAUUCGGAUUGCGCUGCGGGGAUGCGGAUUGCGGCUGCCCGACACAGACAGCAGCACAGCGCGCAGCGAGACGUUCCUGCUGGCUGCUGCGGUGGGAAAAGAAAAGGAGAGAGAAUUGCCAAAAGCCCCCUUCUGAGCUCAAAAUGAUCCGACGGUGCUCUUGAUCAUUCGCCACGGAAUCAAGAUCACAACAAGAAACCAACUUGCCCAACAUUGAUUGAUAGAACGAAACAAGGGAAAACGUCAGGCAAAUUAUAAGCAACUCUUCAGUGCAUACGUUUUACAUUACAACGGAUGGAUGGAUAUCAAAGAAAGCAACUCCUCACCAAACCUAUACAACACCAACAAAGAUCAUUGCAUUGCCAAUGCCAAAAAAGUAAAAAAAAAAAAGGAACAGCAAUAAUCACCAGCAAAUGCCAUGUCAUCAUCAUUAAAAUGAAAAGAAGAAGAAGAAGGGGAAAAAAAAACACUAGCCGGAGCACACCCUUCCUUCCACUAGCUUUGCCUUUGUUAGACACAAACACAACCCACGAUAUGUAGGCAGGAUGGCUUCUUCCACAAUGCCAUCUUCUCCCGGAUCAGGAGAGGCUCCUUCCUUGUCACCACUCCUAAUCAACCAAGGUGUCACAUGUUGCGUGCUGAGCCGCUCCGAGGUAAACUCCUGAGUUAAAAUGCACGCAAUAUUGGUCAACCGAAAAACAAUACUAGCCCCUCAUUCUUCACCAGCUCUAGAUAACAAAGUACCUGCCAGGUGGGAGCUGCGAACUGUUGGCAGAGCCACUUGAACUACCAAACCGUUUCGCUCGGUUAUCCUGCUCUUUCUCCAAACGCGUAGCUGCCAACUCCUUCUCCAUAGCAGCUAACUCACGCCUCGAUUUCUUCGCCUCUGACUCCAUGGCUUUUGUCAAAGUAUCUACUUUCUUUGCCAACAUCUGUACAGCGCAUCACUUUAUUACAAGGAGGCAACAAAAACAAAGGAACAACUAGACAGAUAUAAGCAUUUUCUCGAAACUUAACUUACCUCAACUGCAUCAUCCUUGUCUUUCAGGCUUUGAUCCUUUUCAUGGCACGCCUUCCUUAGGGCAAUGACCUCCUUUUGCACAAAAUCAUAUAGAGCACCUGACACCAAGUCCUCCGACUCAGCAGAUGCAAACUCAUUACACUUCUCAUCUGAGUUGCUGGACUCCUUAUCUUCACUGGAAUCGGUAGAUACGUUCAUACCGUUCCCGUUUACAAGGCCCUUAUAGCGUUCAAGUGAUCUACAGCCUCCAUCGAAAGAUUUGGAUGCCCCUUUCGCAUGGUUAACUAGAGUUGUUGUGGUAGACACUGAUGAUCUCAUCUGGAAUGAUGGGCGUUUUGACAGAAAGCCAUUGGCCUUGGAUAAACCAUCAGCACCACCAAUAGACUGGCGGCGCGUGGUACUGACAUUGGUCCGGGAUGUAGACAUCCUCAAUCCUUCCUCAAGUACCUUAAGUCGUAACUGGAACUUCUCCUGGAAAAUUUGAUACAGAUCACAAUGAAGAGACAGACCUGACGGAUAGAAAUUAAGAUGGGAGAACAGGUAGUCAUGAGCAACAUGAAGGGCAAAAACCAUACUUUCAGUUGAGCUUCUGAUCUUGCAGCCCUUUCUGCAAUAGCAAGUUUGUCCCGGAGUUGCUGCAUUUCUCCCUGCAAAAAAGACAAUGCUCAACGAAUCAACAAAAGUCACAAUUGAUGAACUUCAACAAAUCUAUCAAGAGGAACAGACUAACAGCUUGGAACUAGAAGAAAGGAGACCUUCACUUACUUGCAGAAUCCUUCGUUGGUCAAGCCACUGUUUAACGGGCAUUACUUUAUCAUUGCCGUCUUUCCACUCAUUUGCCACCACUACUGCAACCCUAUUUGCUGAAACCUUUGCACGUGCUAGCUCACGAUCAAGAGUUUUCAUUUCCUCCUGAGAAUAGGAAACAUUGUAAAACUUGCAUUAGUCAUGGCACCUUCAGGUAUACAUAUCCUAAAAUGCAUAAUGCAUAUCAGAGGCAUUACAUUCAUCUCCUGAACUUUCCGCUGAUAGUCUCUCACAGCAUUUGCAGCUGCGCCACCAGCAAGAACAGCUUCUUCUAGCUCUCUGACAGUCUGAGUGAGCUUUUCAACCUCAGCAACUUUCUGGCGGUGCAUUCUAUCCAAGAUUUUGUUCUCUUCCUGUUAGGUGCCAAAGGCAAAGCGUCGCAUACUGUUAGCUUGAUGGGCAAGGCAAACUAGUUAAUGUUACUGUAAAUGGAUAUUUCCAUCAGUGCAUACCUGGCAUAUCUCAAUCUGCUUCAUCAGUUCUUGGUUUUUGUUUUGCAGAUCAUCCACCAAGGAAGCUUUUGCCAAUGCUAUCUGAACCGUCCUUUCUGCUUCAAGUAGAGCUGCUUCCUUAGACUUUGUAAGACGAUCUAGUGCCCUGUUAUCAUCUUGUAGUUUUGCAAUCUGCAAAAGAAGAUUAUUAACAUGUUAGCAUUUUCACUUCAAGAAGAACUUGAUAAACAGCAACGGCAAUGAAAGGAAAAAAAAAAGACUGGAGAUUUACCUCUUGACGGGCUAGUUUCAGCUCAGCUUCCAGUGGUGCAAGAAUGGCCUCAAUAGGAGGCAUGUCAUCAUCCUUCUGCGCGGCAUGAACCCUUCGUAGUGUAGCCUCUGCUGCAAACUGCGCGGCAAGUGCUGCUUUCUUUUCGUCAUUGAUCUUCUUUGCUUCGAGGUUCUGCAAGAUAUGUUGCAUACAUACUAUGAAUAUCGGUUGUCCGCACAAGGCAGCAGCGAAAUGCACACGAGGGGGAAAAGGAUUACCUUGGUUUCAAGGAGAGACUCUGUGAGCUUGAGCUUCUCGUCCACCUUUGCCAAUUCUUCCGUAAGCUUACAUUGACGCAGGAGGCAAAGUCAGAGUUGUUGCAAAACAAGUAGUAGGCUAGUAGCAGUAAGAAGCCCUGCGGGGUGGGGGUUACUGACAUCCUGUACGGCCUUCUCUCGCGCACGGUCCGACAGGCGGAGAGCCUUGAUCUCCGCCUGCGCGUCGCCCAGCUCCUUCUCCUUGUCUGCACAGCACAGCACAGGGCGGAGGUGAGAUCCAAUCCAAGGAAUUCUGGUCAGGACUACUGGACUAGGUAGGUAGGUAGAUGCAUGAGAUCCAAUCCAAGAGGAAGAAGAGGUGGAGGAGAUGGCAUACACUGCAGCUCGUUCUCGAGGCGGGUGAGCUCGACGCGGACCGGAUCGGAUCCGUGGAGGAGGUUGAUGAGGUCCUCCAUCUCGAUGGCGGGCUUGAGGCGGGGGCCGGGGCCGGGGCGCGGCUGCUGGUUCUUCUUGCCAUCGCCGUACGGAUCGGCCAUGGCCGGCGCGGCGCAAUGCGGUGCCCGGCGCGGCGAUCUCCGCCACCUGCCCCCUGCUCCGAGGAGGGGGGUGGGGGAGGGAGUGGCGUGGCGUGGCCUGCUCUGCUCCCCCGCCUGGCCUGGCCUGAUCAGAUCAGGGACGGGAACGAAACGAAAUGAUAGGAGCGAGAAAGAAAAGGAACAACCGCUCUGCCUCAGCAGCUGCUGCUCUGCUCUGGGCUCCCCUCCCCUACUUGCUGUUGCUGCGCUUGCCACUGCCAAGGCUGUUGCGACUGUCCCUGGUAAAAAAAAAAAAGCUAUUUAUUUAAGUAUCUAUCAAUUCAGGAAAAAAAAAGUAAAAAUCGGAACCGGAAGGAGAGCGGGACGGGUGGGGCCAGGACGUCAGUUGGACCGACAUCAUGCCUUUCUUCCCGACCCGGCCCGCAACCGCAAGCAAAUUCGCAUCGGCAUCGCAGUGAGGGGAACGGAGGGAGGCCCUAACCCUAACCCUAUCCAUCGCCAUCGCCAUCGCCAUCGCCAUCGCCAUGGCCGCCGGCGGAGAACCCUCCCCGUCGCCGCCCUCACCCGCCAAGCACUCUCGCUCGCCCGACGACGCCGCCCAGCCCGACGCCUCCCCGAAGCGCCGCAAGCGCCACCACCACCGUCGCCACCACCACCACCGACGCCAGCGUCACGACGACUCUCCGCUAGCUGUGGCGCCCGACGACGACGUAGAGGAGGGGGAGAUACUCGAUGACGCCGCCGCCGCCGAUUCCGCAGCCCCACAGGAUUCCCUUGUUCCGGUACAUCUCUCCCCGCCUUCAAACCCCCACCUCUUUGGUUCGACUUUAACUAAUAACUAGCCCUGCAAUAGCACUUCGGUACAGUCUAGUGUAGUGUUUCCUAGUCUCCCGCCUUGCUCAUCAGCAACAUACAGACAUACCGUACAUACAACAACAACAACAUCAAAGUAUUUAGGCUAGAGCUGAAACCCAACAGCAAGCUGGUGCUUAUUUCCACCUAAGAUAAGAUAUCGAAUACCAUCUCUCUUGUUAUGGCGCAGCAGAUAAUUGGGAAAUUGGAGGCUUGGCAGGUCUAAAUUCAAUUUUCGCAACAUAAUUAGUAUUUAUUCCUUGGGUACCCUUUUGCUGUUACUCCUUGCCUACUUACUGUUUGAUGUAUGGCAAAUGCAGGAGCGCUUGGACAAUGGUGCUGAUACACAUUCAAAUGCAGAUGCAAUGAUGCCGCAAGCUUCUGCUCUGCCUACCCUCCCUCCAUCCUCAAAAGAUGGAAGGAAGUCACUUAGCGGUGCCCCUGAGUCUGAAAGCGGGGGUAUCCUAUCAAGUGACGCUGAUGAAAACAAAGGGUAUGAGCAGAGCCAAAGCCUUUCAAAAUCUACAAGGGAGAAGGAAAGGAGGCACAUAGAUGAGCGUCACUCGUUGUCUUAUAAAGAUUAUCAUUCCAAAAAUCACUCCAGAACAUCUCCUUACCCAAGGCAUCACAGUGAAGCUCGUUCAAGAGAUCACUCGAGGUCUACAGAGAAAAGUGAUGGCGCUAAUGGUCCUCGUGCAAGUCUUAGGGAUGGUUUUGAUCAUGACAGCAAUGAUCGGAAUGGCAAGUCUGGCAGACAUGCUACUAGUAGGCAGGAGAAUGAAAGAGAGAGGAGCAGUAGCCGUGUUGUUCAUGAUAGACCUGGUGACAGGCACGGCAGCCGGGAAAGGUAUAGGGAUGAUAGGAUAGAUGGAGACAAAUUUGAUUCACUUGAAGCUACUCGUAGGCUCAGAGAAAGAAGCAGGAGUCGUAGUAGAUCAGAUCUAAGGGAAAGUGCUCGUGUUCGUGAUCAAAGCCGGGAGAGGGAAAGACGGAGUGGUAGUUCAAGGCAUAAAGAUCAUGAGAGGAAUAGGGAUACAAGUAAAGAUCGGCAUAGAGAAUCUGACAGGGUUGACAGUGUACGUGAAAGGGAGAAAUAUGAUAGGGACAGGGAAUGGCAUAGGGUUAAGGGAAGUGAAACUCGUAGAACCAGAGAAGCACGGGACAAAGUUAGUGACAGUGACAGGCACAGGGAUUCAACACACUCAAAAUACAGCACGUCCGAUGGUUACAAAGAGAGGGCUAGAUCCAGGGAGAAAUAUAGAGAUGCCGACCAUAAAAGCCGGAGGUCUGAAGAAAUGAAGGAAAAUUCUUUAAACAAGUAAGGCAAUUUUUACAUGGUUAACUGAUAGCUAAUUGAAUAACCUCCUUUCUCCGUGUGUUUUAGUUUUCUGGAUAUUUACAGUUACUGCUCUCAUCUCAAUAUUAGGGAGGAAGAUGAAGAGGAGUACCAAGAGAAAAUUGAACAGCAGUUAGCUAUGCAGGAAGAAGAUGACCCUGAAAAAAUUAAGGAGGAAGCAAGGAGGAGGAAAGAAGCCAUUAUGGCGAAGUACAGGCAGCAGCAAUUGCAGAAGCAGCAUAUGGAAUCUAAACCAAGUAGCAAUAAUGAAGGUAAGUUUGGUUAGAUAAUGUUGGGUUCACAACAUGUCCAACACCUUUGCUGUGCUAUGUCCUGACCAAUUUAGUUACUGCUGAAAGAUAUACUGUUGCUUGUACAGAAGUAAAAGCAAUGGAUGGAGAUGAAACUACACAUCUGAAAGAUGAUAAUGAUAGCGGCUCUACGGGCAAUGACGAAGCUGAAAAUAAGCAUGAUUCUUUAGAGGUAUUCGUUGGUGAAGCAGACUUCACUGUGGGGAAGUCUCCUGCUCGGAAUGAUACUUUAGUUAGCACGGGAGCAUUCAGUGACGAGAUGACAAUAGGUGUUUCAGGUCUUGGAGAGGGUUCACCCAAGGUAAUUGUUUUCUGCUAUCCUGUUUAAUAACAUAUGAAACCAUAUCAUCCUGAAAACCUAUACUACAUAUUCCAGAGUGAGAGAUCAGCAGACAUGUUCUGUGAUGACAUUUUUGGAGAAUCACCUGCAGGCAUUAGAAAAUCGGUACGAUUCCUAUCCCUUCUGCUAAUUAUAGAAGUUCCAUUCCAUACUAUUCUGAUCCAUAGGUCAUGGGAAGAGAUGCAACUUGAGGUACAUGCUAAUCUUGCAUGUAUUAUUUGCAUGCCAAAAUAAACUGGUUAAGUUUCAUAGACAGAACACUGUUGCCUGUUUGUUUUCUUAAUAUUAAAUAAAAAUGCCUUUCACGAUCUCAAAAUUACUUUAUUGGACAGGGCAAGGAUGAUGGUUUGCAUGUUGAGAGAAAUGCUCUUCAUGACAACUGGGACGAUGCAGAUGGGUACUACAGUAAGUUGUGCUAUCUUCUGGUCAUUUCCCGUGCCAGUUUCUUUGUUUUAUCUGUGGUCAAGCUUUGCUCCUGUGUUGUUGAUUCAUUUAUUUUCUUGUUUCUGUGACUCUGCAGCUUAUCGGUUUGGGGAAUUACUGGAUGGCCGUUAUGAAAUCACAGCAGCACAUGGGAAGGGUGUGUUCUCAACAGUUGUGCGGGCAAAAGAUCUUAAAGCUGGUAAAGAUGAUCCUGAAGAAGUUGCUAUCAAAAUUAUCCGGAACAAUGAUACUAUGUAAGUUAAGCUCCCAAGAGAUAUUUUCCAGAAAGAUUUCUAGUAUUGAAAAUAAAUUAGGACUAUUUAAUUCAAUGUUGGAUUAUUCAGGUACAAGGCUGGCAAGCAAGAGGUUUCGAUACUGGAAAAACUUGCAAGUGCGGACCGUGAGGACAAACGCCACUGCGUGCGGUUUAUUUCUAGUUUCAUGUACCGGAACCAUCUUUGCUUAGUUUUUGAAUCUCUCAAUAUGAAUCUUCGUGAGGUUUUAAAGAAAUUUGGUCGUAAUAUCGGACUUAAACUGACUGCGGUGAGGGCAUAUUCAAAGCAGCUCUUCAUCGCCUUGAAGCACCUGAAGAACUGCAAAGUUUUGCACUGCGAUAUAAAACCGGACAAUAUGCUGGUAUGCCAUCUUGCAACAUCAUCUUUUUAGCUAUUGUAUUAUCGUCAAUUGUCUUUCUUUAAUGAGAAUUAUGCUUGUGAGACAUAAAAACUCAAUUUUUGUUGCUAUGCUGUCAUUUCAUCUUUACAAGCACAUCUUAAUUAUAAACACCCUUUCUAACUGUGUUGGUUGUUUGCAUUUUAGGUGAAUGAGGCUAAGAAUGUGCUCAAGCUAUGUGAUUUUGGCAAUGCUAUGCUUGCUGGCAUGAAUGAGGUUACGCCUUAUCUUGUCAGCCGUUUCUAUCGGGCACCUGAGAUCAGUGAGUUCUUUUGUUAACUUAACCUUAUUUCAGAAUGUUCAUUAGAUACUAUUUCUACUUUCUACUCAUGCGUUCUGUAUACAUGUUCUAUAUCCAAAUGUGUUGUACCUAACUCAUGUUGUUUAUUGCAGUUCUUGGGUUACCAUAUGACCAUCCAUUAGACAUAUGGUCAGUUGGCUGCUGUCUAUAUGAGCUUUACACUGGGAAAGUCUUGUUCCCAGGUCCAUCAAACAAUGCCAUGCUUCGGCUUCAUAUGGAAUUAAAGGGCCCAUUCCCUAAGAAGAUGCUGCGAAAGGUUAGUCCUACAUGCUUGGAUCAUUAUUAACCUUAAAGGAUGAAAUGCUCUUUCUUUUGUGAUAGUACACCUACAAGCUGCAUACACCUUAAAAAAAAUCCAUAAUUAUGUUGAAUUCUGGAGUGAUGAUAAAUACUUAUCUAAUUGAGUGCACAUAUAAACACUACACUAAAUGAAUGUUUAUAACUUUCCAUCACGCAGGGUGCCUUUACGAUGCAACACUUUGAUCAAGAUCUUAAUUUCCAUGCUACUGAGGAGGAUCUUGUGACAAAAACGGUGUGUCUAUGGAACCAUACCCUUUUUGCUAUGCUCUUUUUGUAUUAUUCAAACUCCUUAUUUAUUAUACGUCUGUUUGCAGGCUGUGAGGAGGUUAAUUUUGAACAUUAAACCAAAGGACAUUGGUUCUUUGAUUUCAAACUUUCCCGGCGAGGAUCCAAAAAUGCUAUCCAGUUUUAAAGAUCUUCUUGAUAAAAUAUUUAUCUUAGAUCCAGAAAAGAGGAUAACCGUAUCUCAAGCACUUAGCCAUCCUUUUAUCACUGGCAAGUGAAAUAAGAUGCUGAUUCCUGUUGACAUUGAACUUAGCAUCUACCUUGUAAAAUAGAAUUUGGGUUCCUCUUGUCUAAUCAUCCACGUUUCUGUCUUGUGUCCUGGGAGCUACGAGACCGAGUACGUGGAUGAAGCACGGAACUAUGGAAGAGAUGGCUACCUGCAGACCUUGCUGCAUGCACUUAUCAUUUGGAUAUGUUCUGUUGCUUGUAAGACAACUAGCCAGUCAGCAUUCCAUUUCCUGUAUUAUACUCUUUCCUAUGGAUUUACAAGAUAUACUUGAAAGUCUGCUUCAUUUCAUCUAACAAUUAUGCUGACUUGUGGAUUGCUGACAAGCAAGGUUAUAUGUGUAACACUGUUGCUUAAUGUGUAAGCAAAUCUUUGCACGUGCUUGGAACACUUUUCAUUUGUGUGCCAGCAUGUACUCUUCUGAUGUUUAUGAUUGCAUGCUGGCUAUGCUUGGCUUCAAGCUAUACUAAUCUGGGGGGUGCAGUGCACCAGGUUUUUGUAUUGCUUGAAAAGUUGUUUAUUUCAUGCUAACACAGGCCUUGCGUAAUAUUAAUUUGUUUCUUACAUCUACUUGCGUUUGGAUUUAUAAGAUUCUAAUUUGUUCUUUCAUUCAGGAUUCUGCCAGGGCCUCUGCUGUGUGCGCAUUUUAUAUGCGUAAGGGCCAACAUAAGAAGGUACCCUGGUUGAUAUCUGGGUAACGAGAUGUGUUUGAACCCAUCAAUACAUUGCUUUCUUUUGUUUUAGGUUGAGAGAAUGAUAUCUAUAUUUCAUUAAUGUUGGAUUUUGUCAUUCAUACGUCCUAAUCAAUUGGUCUUUUCAGUAAUAUAAAUUAUCUUAGUCUAUACUUAAUGUUUUGUCUAGCUAUUGCCGAAAUUAUACAUCCUAAUUAUUUUUUCCUCCUGCAUUGAGCACUUUAGAAGCUUAUGCCCACCCACAACUUGUAGAUAAGUAGGGGAUGGCUGGAAAGUAAAUGUAGGUGAAGUACGCAAAUACAAGCACAUGCACCGUUGUGUUUACCUUUUGUUUGCUCCAUCAAAGUAGAGUAAUUCUUUUAUAAUUUAUUCGUUUUACUAAAUUAUUAGUUGGAACAACGCAUUUCUACUUUUUUCCUACUUACCCUCAUAUGGAACAUCGAUUGAGUUUCGGUUUUGCUUUUAUGUUAUUUGAGGUCCUGGGAUGGAGAUCGCUGACCCACUACUCACUUGACAUGGUAAAUCCUUUGAACUCUGGAUGUCUUCCUUUUGUUUUAUUCUUAAAGAGUUCACCUAAUAGUUGGUAGUGUUUUGGUAUACCAUGGAUGGUUCAUUUUUUCAGUUUUGGCAGCCUUUAUUAUUUUGGAUGUGUUUCUAAUAUUUAGAGUGUUUCAUUGAGUUAUUUCUUUUUUCAUUCAUUUUAUGUUUCAUCAAACAUUAAUCUACUCAAUAAUUUUCUACGGUGUGUGUGCACCAAAAUUAUCCACAAUAAUGGGUUGUGAAAUUCAAGUAUAUACCAAUUACUUCACCGUAAAAGCUCUCCUCUAUCAUGCAAUGGAGUUUGAGUUUCAUCAUUUCUGUAAAAAAAAUAUAGGAGCUGAAAACCACUCAGACUACUAGUUUUAGAACCAAGUGUCCAGGUUGCGCUGCAGGAAGUGGCUUAGUGCCCUUUGGUGCCUUGCCCAUACCACACAGCUCUGUGCUCUGCUUCUGUGGUUUCUUAACCCAGGUUGCUGUCCGAGUUGAGUGGUUUGGUCGCUGAAACUUGUGUAUGGCGCAUCUGCUACAUUCUUUCCCCCUAGGGUGUGUGUGGGGAGGAAAAGAGACUUGAGUUGAAAAAGACAGUUUUAACAGACUUGAGUUGAAAAAGACAGUUUUAUUUGCCACAUGUUAAUCAAGAUAAACACUGGUUGCAUUAGCUUAUUUAGUUAUCCGGAGGCUGAAAGUUUACUACAUGAUUGGUAUUCAAGUUUUCUUGAGUUGGAUUCUUUAUAACUCUUUCCUUGUUAGUCAGAAUUGCUGUCCAUAAGUGGCCAUGUGAAUGACAGUAGUUUCUCAUGUUGGAUCUCUGUAGAUACUUGUGUGGGAUGUAGUAGUUUCGUAGUUAUUUUUUUUAUCUGUAGUACUUGCUGGGUAAAUUAGGGAUGACAAUUUUACCCGCGGGCAUGGAUACCGCGGGUUUCCCGACGGGCAAGGGUAUGGGUAUGAAUUUUCACCCGCGGGUAAAAACCCAUACCCUCGCCCGCGGGUAGGACACUGGUAUCCAACCUUACCCGCAGGUACCUAUCGGGCACCCGAAAUACAACUAUUAUUACCUUGUCAUCUCACGUCUUUUAUAAUGUUUAUGUAUUUAUGUAUUAUUCUCAUGUGAUUGUGUUAACUACAAAAACUAAUACGUGAGACUGGAUUUACUUUGAACUAUGAGGACAACAAAAAAUAUUGCAGUGUUUAGUUCUAUUUGCAAUGACUUUGUGUGGGUGGUAGAUUCGAAUUAUACUUGUUUUUAUGAUUAGGAUGAUAUAUUAUUUGUGCUAUCAUGACUAGACCCGAUAGGUACCCUAAACCUGUCGGGUACCCUGUGGGUACGGGCACGGGUACAAAAUCUUACUCGCUAGGUUUCGAGGAUAUGGGUAAGACUUGGGAGUUUCGGGUAUUCUUGCGGGUGGGCAUUUACUCUACUCACACGUUAUCCAAACCGCUGCCAUCCCUAACCGGGUAUGAAAGUACCUAAGAAAUUGCAGCCCAUUGACCUACCCCAUGUCCGUGUGCAGGUCACUAGUUUGUUUGUUAGUCUUUGGCCCAACAGGCCAUUGCACCAUUAUUAAUUGUUUCCUUUUUUGCCUAGUUAUGUCGUUCCUAGUUCAAUCCGAUAUGGCACACUAACUGAUUUGUUCAGUCCCUAGUGGCCAAGCCCCAUGCAAUUGGUUCUUGCAUUAGUUCAAUCCGAUAUGGCACACUAACUGAUUUCGCUCACCUGCUUUUUACACAUAGCCCUUGCGAAGCUGACCAAUUCCUAUUGCAGCUGUACUUUUGGAUGAUUGACUUGUACUCCCUCCAUCCUGAAAUAUAAGGCAUCCAAGGGUUCAAAAUUUGUCCCCAAAUAUAAGGCGUCCUAGGAGUUUUUGGCAAGUACUCAAUCAACUCAAUUAAAAGCUUGCCAAAUAUUUUCCCUGUUAACAGGAAAACUUGCCUUGUAUUACCAUUAGCUAAGGGUAUAUGAGACAUUUGCCCACCUCUUUAAUCUGUCCUAAAAAUCCUAGGAUGCCUUGUAUUUCAGAACGGAGGGAGUACUUGUGUACUAUCUCUUUUAGAUAUUUUUUUUAUUUUUUUUCAUCAACAGAACUGCUCUAGUAAAGUGGGUACUUGCAUGUGGUUGCAUAUUUUUCAUCAAAAUUACUUUGCCUUUUCUCCCUAUUUUUCCCUUUUUCUUUCCUGUCCCCUACCGGUUGCUGCUAUUUUACAGUCUCUUGGGCUGGUAAGAUAUCGCGUCGCCUCAUGCCUUGGUGUCGUGGUGGGCGUGGGUUGCCACACCUCGCCUGCCUUGACGCUCUAAGAACAUUGCAUGAUUGUAUGUGCAUGUCUUCCGUUUAGAAUGUGUUUGGUUAAUAAUGUAAGACUGCCAAGGCAUGCAAAACACUUUUGCCAGCUUGUCUGACUACAAAAGCUUAGUAAUAUAAUAUUUAUGAUGUGUGGUAUUGUUGUUGGAAAGUUUUUCGUUACUAUAUUGUGGAUAGAAAGCAAACUUCUGCCUACCAUAUCACUUAGGGGCACGAAGACACCCAGGGGCUCCGAAUUCUACCUUCUGAUGUUUCAUGAAAUAUUCAGUAACGGAAAACCACAAGCUGACAUAUGGUGGAACAUACGUUAGGACUAUUCUGUAGUAAUUGAGCAGAACAGUUGACAAAAAAAACUAAAGAUGCGGAUGUACUUUCUUUAUUCAGUUCACCUCAGGUGGGCAUAAUCUGAUGUGCAUCUCCCCCCCCCCCCCCCCCCCCCCCGCCAAAAAAAGUGAUAAUAAUUUUGUCCGUUUAUAAGCUAUUAUGUUUAUAGACUCGAAAAGACCUGUAUAACUGCUGUUGUUGUAAUUUUCUUGCCGAAUAGAUAUUAGCAGCAUGCAUAUUUGAAAUAUGUUUAGGUGUUGACGUACUUGGUACUAUGCAAUGCAGUCCUGCAAUGUAAUGACAAGGACCGAGCUAACCAUGGGUGGAGAACAGCCAGUUUAGGUCCCUUUUAGCAGGUCUUCCUCACCGGCUUUACGUGAAGCUGUGCCGACUCGGGGUGUUUGGUUCCUACCCCUAAAGGACUUUAGUACUGUUCCAUCGAAUGUUUAGAUACUAAUUAGGAGUAUUAAAUAUAGACUAUUUAUAAAAUUUAUUGCACAGAUGGAGGCUAAACGGCGAGACGAAUCUAUUAAGCCUAAUUAGGCUUAAUUAGUUCAUGAUUUGAUAAUGUGCUGCUAUAGUAACCAUUUGCUAAUGAUGGAUUAAUUAGGUUUAAUAGAUUUGUCUCGUCGUUUAGUCUCUAUCUGUGCAAUUAGUUUUAUAAUUAACUCAUAUUUAGUCCUUCUAAUUAGCCUCCGAAUAUUUUAUGUGACACGGACUAAAUUUUAACUUAAGGAACCAAACACUCCGGCUCCAUCGCCGGCACGAAGACCCUCAACAUAAGUGCACUAACGGCAUCUGACAGCUCGUAGAGUUUUAAUCGUUAUGAUUGGUUGAUGCAUAAGGUUAUGGGUUAAAUCAUGAAAGUGAUAACAAAGCACGCUGAACUUAAACCUACGUGCCAAUUAUGUGGUACCGUGUGAAAAUAAAAAGGUUCACAAACUGCUUUGGUUGCUCCAUAGCGACUAGGAAGAAAAACUUUUAUGUGCUAUAGCUCAUGGGAUACUGAAAAUAGCCCAACAAGAGAACCAGAACUAAUAUGACAGACAAUCCGAGCAAGUGGAAAAUGUCGCCGGACACCUACUCGUCCAAGGGAACGUCUGAGGUGGAAAACAACCUGACUGGAUAUCCCCGAGAAAACUAGUGGGACUGCCCGAACAAGUGAAAAACACCACUAGACACAUGUUCGGGCAAGGAAAGUAUACUGUAGUUCACGGGAGGUAGAAAAUAGCUUGGCAAGAGAUCUUGGGUUAAAAUAAGAUGCCGUUUGGUUACAGUCUAAAAUGUAACGUAAUUUCAUUUCAGAGGGUAAGUCUUAUCGUUACAAACGUUUGUUUGCAACAGUCUGUAAUCCAUUAACGACUCUUAUCGUUACAAACGUUUGUUUGCAACAGUCUGUAAUCCAUUAACGUGUAAUCAGAUCUACACCCCGAGCUACUACGUGCUCGAUACAGCUCCUCAACCACCGUAAUUAAAAAAUGAUACAGCGGUGGCGCUGUCACAGAUCGUGACUCCAGCGCGGCGGUAUCCUCCAAAUGCUGCCGUGUGCUUGUGCUUGCGCCUCCGGUCCUUUACCUCCUGGCGACCAUGCAUGAUGAGGAAGGAGACAAUGGCGAGUAACUCCGCCAGGAACCCGUACGCCACCCGGCCACCACUGAGGCCCAAGCUAUUCGGUUCGGGAAGGCUCCUUCGGCGGCUGUUUUUGUCGGGUGAGAGCAAGGCUCUCGUUUCGAUCAGAGAAUCAGGAUUCUACUGCCUCUGCGGCUAUCUGAGAUUCAAGCCAGAGCAUGGCGGGCGAGCGUUGGUGAAGAGGCGGCCGGCAUGGCCGUCGUGUUGCUAAUCGGUUUCAGCGAGGAUGUGCCUCGCUGCUGCGUAUCUGGCUUAUGGUUGUGCCGGGAUGCGAUAGCGUUACAUUAGUAAACCAAACAAAGACAGUAAUCAUGCAUCCCACCUCUGAUUACAGUGCAAUCUGAUUCCAUUUCCAUUUACGUUACCACUUGCCGAAUCAAACACUACCUAAGUAGGAUCGCAAGAAAAAAAAUAAAAAAAAACUACCGGUGAUAGAAAUGUGCGCAUAGUUAAGGAGGAUGAAAACAACACGACCCAAAGCCCAUAACAAAAGUGAGCUGGAUGGCUUGAACCCCAUAACAAAAGUGAGAGGGAUGGCUUGAACAGGUGAAAAAAGCCAAAGACACUUAUUCGGUUAAAGGAAACGUGUGCCAUCGCUAGGCCUGCUAAUGGGGGUUAUACUGGCCCCUAACCUGCCCCAACCCACAUCUAAUGGGAGAAUUCUACUAACCCGCCCCAACCAUAAAUAUAUUAUUUCUACCCACCCCACCCCGCCUCACGGUGCGGGUUACCCAUGCAUGCCACAACACCAUUGCGUGCAUAGAUUCGCUACAAACCAUUUUUAUACAGACCCAUCCUUUGUCGGUGUGGGUCCCACAUCUAGAUAAGGUUCCAAUAUUAUCUUCUUCCUCACCGAGUCACCGUUCCAUCCAUUGACUCGCCACAUCCCGCCCCGCCGCUGCGACCGCCGCCCUUCUCUCCCCUUCCCCUCCCCCUCCCCAUCCUCCUUUCUCUAAAUGCCCCCCCCCCCCUCCCGCUGGUUGCUCCCACCGCCUGUGCCCGAUGACAACCUCGCCGCUGACCACACCAUCCACCUCCCGCUCCGCCGCCAACCUCCGCCUUACCGCCCCCCACGACCGUGGCCCCCGCCCCUUCCUUCCUCUUCCUCCUCCCCCUUCCCCCCUUCCCCUCCGACCAGAUCUCGCCGUCGUUGCACCUCGCCAUUGCCAGCCUCCACCACCACCCCAUGGCCAGCGGCAACCUCCAGCAGCAGUUGUCCACCACCGCCCUGCUGGCGGCGCCAUCGCCGCCCACACCCCACCUCCUCCGCCAAGCCGGCUGCCGCCCACGGCCAUCCCUUUAAGGUGCCGGCCAUGGAAGCUCCCUCAAAAACCCCAAAUUCCGAAUUCGAAUCCCUCUACCCACGCUCCUGUCGGUCUCCACCGCCGGCCCAGCGGCAACCCGCCGUUCACCGUUCCGCCCACCACCCGCCGGAGACGAAGGAGAUCAUCGAAGAAGACCUCCAAAAGACCGGUUCCAACCCGCUCCCAACCCGCACUUUCCCUGGACCCAACCCACCCCGACCUGUUAGCCUCUAAUCCCCAUUCCCACCCAUUCUAAUGAACCCCGCAUGAGAACCCACCCCAAAAUACCCAUUUCGCCCUGCCCCACUAGCAGGGCUAGCCAUAGCUCAGAGUAAGCCUGACAAGAGACCCGUGACAAAAAUGAGUGGGAUCGCUCGAAAAGUGAAAAUGCCUUUGCACACAUGUUUGUUAAGGAAACUAUGCUAUGCUAACGGGACGCCAAAAACAAAAAAAAUAGUGGGACUACUUGAACAAGUGAAAAAUGCCACCAGAAAACCGUGUUCGGCAAAGAAAGCGUGUGCUAUGGCUCACGCGGGGCUGAAAUAGCGGGACGAGAGACACGGGAUGAAAAAUGAGUAGGAUCACCCAAACAAGUAAAAAAUAUCAGCAGAUGUGUUCGGUCACAGAAACGUGUGCUAUUGCUUACGGGAGGCAAAAAAUAGUCGACCGAAGACCUAGAAGGAAAAAGAGUAGGAUGACUCGGACAAGUGAAAAAAUGUCACCAAAUGUGCGUUCGGCUUAGUAGAGGUGUGUGGGGUGGGGUGGGGGGUAGCAUGGCCGCACAGGAGGCCAAAACAGCCGGACCAUAGACCUAGGAUGAAAACGAGUGAGGUUACGCGGUCAAAUGAAAAAUUACAAUAAAAAUAUGUUCGGCUAAGAAAAUGUGUGCUAUACCUCACACGAGUCUCGAAACAGCCCAAUCCGAGACACCUGAUGAAUAGGAGUGGGAGGCCUGAACAAGUGAAAAAUGCUAUCAUUUGAUAGUUCACGGGAAUAGAAAACAACUCAAUCAGAAACCUAGGGUGAAAAUGAAUGGGACGUCCCGAUCAAGUGAAAGAUGCCACGGACACGUAUUCGAUAAAAACAGCCUGACAAGACACGCAGGAUGAAAACGAGUAGGACUCCCCAAAAAAGUGAAAUAUUACACCAAAUGAGGCCGAACACAGCCCGACCAGAGGCAUGACAGUACGGAUGAUGGGACGAAAACGGAUGGGAUACCCUGGUAUGUGCUAUAGGUCAUGAUUGAGGUCAGAUAUCAUACGAAAAUUAAAAAUCCACAUACACCUCCAUCAGCUCUGGAGUAGGAAGAAUGAAAAUCAUAUGAUAUAGGUUAUGUUUGAGGCUAGAUAUUGUAUGAAAAUUAAAAUUUCACAAUCAACUCCAGAAGCUCCGGAGGGACUAGGAUGGACGAAAAACAUAUGCUAUAGGUCAUGGUUGAGGCCAGAUAUCCUCUAGAAAUUAAAAAAUUACGGACACCUACAUCAGCUCCGGAUGCAGUAGAAAUGAUGAAAAAUAUAUGCUACAGGUCAUGGUUGAGGCAAGAUAUCGUACGAAAACUAAAAAUCCACAGACACCUCCACCAGCUCCGGAGGGACUAGGACGGACGAAAAACAUGUGCUAUAGCUAAUGGCUGAGGCCGGAUAUCGAACGAAAAUGAAAAAAACACAGAUGCCUCCACCAGCUCCGGAUGUAGUAGGAAGGAUGAAAACCAUAUACUAUAGGUCAUGGUUGAGACCAGAUAUCGCACGAAAAUUAAAAGUUCACAUACACCUGCACCAGCUCUGGAUGGACUAGGAAGGACAGAAAACAUGCGCUAUAGGUCGUGGUUGAGGCUAGAUAUCGUACGAAAAUUAAAAAUCCAUAGACAUCUCCACCGGCUCCGGAUGGACUAGAUGAGAUGAAAAACAUAAAAAUCCAUAGACAUCUCCACCGGCUCCGGAUGGACUAGAUGAGAUGAAAAACAUAUGCUAUAGGUAAUGGUUGAGGUCAGAUACCGUACAAAAAUUACAAAUCCACAUACACCUCCACUGGCUUCGGAGGGACUAGGAAGGAUAAAAACCAUAUGUUAUAGGUCAUGGUUGAGGUCAAAUAUCGUACGAAAAUUAAAAAUCCACGGACACCUCCACCGGCUCCGGAGGGACUAGGACGGAUGAAAAACAUGUGCUAUAGCUCAUGGUUGAGGCUAGAUAUCCUCUGAAAAUUAAAAAACCACGGACACCUGCAUCGGCUCCUCAUGCAGUGAAAUUGGCCUCCGAACGCGUGUUUGGCCAUGAAAACGUGUGUUAUAGGGAACGGGAGCCCGAAAAUAGCGACACCGACCAACGGCGUUGAAAACAUGGGGGAAUGGUUCGAAGACGUGAAAAUAGCCUCCGGACGCGUUUUCGGCUAUGAAAACGUGUGCUAUAGGUCACGGGAGCCCGGAAACGGCCACACCGGCCACCGAGGACGAAAAUGUGGGGCAAAACUAAACAAAUGAAAAUGGCCUUCGGACUUGUGUUCGGCUAUGAAAACGUGUGUUAUAGAUUAUGGGAGCUCGAAAACCGCAACACCGGUCACCGGGGUCGAAAAUGUGGGGGAUGGACCGAAGACGUGAAAAUGGCCUUCGGAUGCGUUUUCGGUCAUGAAAACGUGCGCUAUAGGUUACGGCAGCCCAGAAACGGCCACACUGGCCACCGAGGAUGAAAAUGUAGGGGCGGGACCAAACAAGUGAAAUUGGCCUCCGAACGCGUGUUCGGCCACGAAAACGUGUGUUAUAGGUAACGGGAGCCCGAAAACAACGACACCGGCCAUUGGGGUCGAAAACGUGGGGGGUGGACCGAAGAUGUGAAAAUGGCCUCCGGACGUGUUUUCGGCCAUGAAAACGUGUGUUAUAGGUCAAGGAACCUGAAAACAGCGACACCAGGCACCGGGGUCGAAAACGUGGGGAUGGACCAAAGAUGUGAAAAUGGUCUCCGGACACAUUUUUGGCUAUGAAAACGGUGCUAUAGGUUACGGGAGCCCGAAAACGGUCACACCGGCCACCGAGGACUAAAAUGUAGGGGCUGGAUCGAACAAGUGAAAAUUGCCUCCGAACGCGUGUUCAGUCAUGAAAACGUGUGUUACAGGUCACGGGAGGCUGAAAAUAGCGACACCGGUCACCAAGGUCGAAAACAUGGGGAUGGACCGAAGACGUGACAAUGGCCUCCGAACGUGUUUUCAGCCAUGAAAACAUGUGCUACAGGUCACGAGACCCCAAAAACGGCCACACCGGCCACUGAAAAUGUAAAGGCAGGAUCGAACAAGUGAAAUUGGUCUCUGAACGCGUGUUCGGCCAUGAAAACAUGUGUUAUAUGUAACAGGAGCCCGAAAACACGAUACCGGUCGCCGGGAUCGAAAACAUGGGGGUAUAACCCGAAGACGUGAAUGACCUCCGGACGUGUUUUCAUCCAGGAAAACGUGUGCUACAGGCCGCGGGAGCUCGAGAUAGGAGGAUUGCUGCCUACAUUUACAAGAAGGCUGGCAGAUGGAAGCAGUCCAUUGCUCUAUCAAAGAAAGACAGCAUGUACAAGGAUUGCAUGGAGACAUGCUCGCAGUCUGGUGACCGUGAACUGUCGGAGGACUUACUUGUCUAUUUCAUUGAGCAGGUUUAUUUUAAACCUGUUCUAUUGAUUGAUGAUAUGAGAUGCAGUGAUAUGCCAAUUCAAAAUACAGUAGAAAACCUAUUAUUUGUCUACCUGUCAUUGCACUUCUGAUUAGUUAACUUUGAUCUGCAAUUAUGCAAUGCAGGGGAAGAAAGAAUGCUUUGCUUCUUGCCUCUUCAUUUGCUAUGACUUGAUACGACCAGAUGUUGCCCUUGAGCUUGCAUGGAUGAACAACAUGAUAGACUUUGCUUUCCCGUAUCUGUUGCAGGUACCUUAUUUCUGUCCAUAUCUGCACUGACACUUACUUAUGCACAGUUCAUUUUAUAAUAACAUCCCUGCCGUCCAUGCAGUUCAUUCGCGAAUACAGCAGCAAGGUUGAUGAUUUAGUUAAGGACAAAAUUGAGUCGCAAAAUGAGGAAAGAGCGAAAGAGAAAGAGGAGAAAGAUCUUGUUGCUCAGCAGGUAAAGUAAAAGUGCAUUCGCCUCUUUGUUUCUGUAAUCAGUCACUAGUGCUGAGGCAUUUGGCAUGAUUAGUCGCAUGCUGUUGUGCAGAACAUGUACGCACAGCUGCUUCCUCUCGCUUUGCCCGCUCCGCCGAUGCCAGGCAUGGGCGGUCCUCCACCUCCGAUGGGUGGAAUGGGCAUGCCUCCGAUGGGCCCUGGUCCGAUGCCAGCAUUUGGGAUGCCACCAAUGGGAAGCUACUAGGUUGGUUUUGCAGAGCGAUUAGAUGAUGAUUCGGAUUUUUCCAGUGUAAGCAGAAGUUGAACUAUGGGGUUGUAGAUGAUCACAGUUUGGAAUUAAUAUUCUUUAUGGUACCAGGAAAUUUUGGCGAGUGAAAUCUCUCGUUUGAGAAAUGCUACCUGUUGUUAUAAUAAUCGGGUUCCCUUUGAUCCUGUUACCAUGUUACCUCUGAAGAGUGCCUAUACGACGUUUGUUAUACUAUUACCUCUGAAGAGUAGCUAUGUAUCUUUGAAGUGUGCAGAUGUGACGUUUGUUAUCCUGUUACCUCUAAAGAGUACCUAUGUGACUUUUGUUUUCCUGUCACCAUUUCCAUGACUUUGGACUCCUCUCGGGUGCUAACCAUGGCAUGCGAGAACAAACUCCUGUGCAUACAGUUUAGAGAUUUCGAUUCAGGGCAAACUAACUGUUGGAUUGUAAGCGUGUCACAGCCCAUGGGCCUGCCGUAUCCGGCUCCCCAUGUGGUCUAUAUGUAUACAACUGUUGCUAUUGAGGAAUACAUCGUGCAUUAUACAAUCUAUCAUGGUAUCACGCGAGUCGUUCCUGCGACCUGCUUCCGCUCAACCCUAGCCUCCGCCAGGGCACCCGCUCGCCGGCUCCACCCACCCACGGCCGCCCCGCUGAGCUCCUCGCCGGCCGAUCCCCUCGCCUGCCGCUGAGCUACGCUCGCCAGGCCCCUCUCCUACUCUUCCUGCCGCCGAUCCCCAUCGCCAGGAACCCCAAUGGCCGGUGACGCCGCCGCCGCCGCCGCCGCCGCCGCCACCGAGAAGCAACGGCAAGAGGAGGCGGAGGCCCUCGACAAGGCCCUCACCGCCAAGGAGGCGGCAAACGCCACCCUCCACGCCCAGGCGAUCGCACUCCACAACAUCAAGAGCGCGAUCACCCUGGUGCUGGACCAGUUGUCCAACAACUACGGUCGGUGGCGGCCUCUCUUCUUGAUUGUGCUCGGCAAGUACAAUCUGAAGGAGCACGUCCUCACCGACAUCGCCUACCCCGAUCGCUCGGCAUGGGCGACCAUGGACAGCUGCGUCCUCACCUGGAUCAUCUGCACCGUCUCCAACGAUCUGCAACAGUCCCUGCUGCUCCGUGAUCCCACUGCCCGAUCUGCCUGGCUGUACCUCGAAGACGAGUUCCUCGGCCAGCGCGAAUCGCGUGCACUGCUGCUGGAGGCUGAGUUCCGUUCCUUCCGGCAAGGCGAUCUCUCAGUGAUCGAUUAUUGCCGUCGCCUUGAAACAAUGGCGGCAUCCCUCAAGGAGUUCGGUGAUCCGAUCGGCGACAGGCAGCUUGUCCUCACCCUACUGCGCGGCGUCAAUGGGAAGUACCGACACAUGGUGUCCAACCUGAAGAUGCGCGCACCCUUCCCCACGUUCGCCGAAGCACGCACCCUGCUGCUCCUCGAAGAGAUCGACGUCAACGACAUCCACGACGAUGUCACUCCCGCGCCGCCGUCGGAGACUCAGGCGCUGCUCGCGGCAAAACCACAGCCGCCACGCACUGGUUCUGGUGGUUUCGGUGUCCAGGGCAGUGGGACGGGCAACUCCAACAACUCCCGCAACCGCCGCUGGGGACGCGGCGGCAACGGCGGGACCAACAACGGCAAGGCGGGCGCCGGCCAGGGCGCCCCCAACGGCGCCGUGCAGGGCGCUGGACAGCCUACUGUUCGGCCAGGACAGAACCCCUGGUCCGGCACUCUCCAGCUCUGGCCACACGGCUUCGACGGCCUUCCUGGACAGCAGCUGCAGCGCCCACCAUACAUGCCGUUCGAGCAACCCCAGCCGGCCCUCCACAUGGCACCGUACCACGGAGGGUACUACCAGCUCCCACCACCGCCCCCUGGCUUCAGCUAUGGCCCGGUGGCAGGCUCCUCGGCUUCCUCUUCGGCCGGCGCGAUGCCGCAGUACGCGGCAUGGAACCCCAUGGCAGGUGGCUCCUUCGACCAAGCGUCCCUCGUCAACAACUUCAACACAAUGACCUUGACGCCGCCGUCGACACCCACCGAGUGGUAUGCUGACUCUGGUGCCGGUUCUCAUAUGACCGCCCACUCUGGUAUUCUCUCGUCUCCUCGCUCACCCUCCUGGUCCAAUCCUUCCUCUAUUAUUGUCGGUAAUGGUGCUCUCCUGCCCAUCACCUCCACUGGCUCAUACUCGUUUUCUACACCACAACGCCCUCUUGUUCUAAAUAAUGUCUUAGUGUCCCCUAGCAUUAUUAAGAACUUGAUCUCUGCUCGUCGGUUUACCAUUGAUAACAAUUGCUCUAUCGAGUUUGACCCAUUUGGCCUCUCUGUGAAGGAUCUACAAACACGGAGCGUGAUCGCCAGGUGCAAUAGCACGGGGGAUCUAUACCCAUUCUUCCCGUCCACCAGCAGCAAAACACCAGUCUUCGCAGCCACCUCUACACCCACCCUGUGGCAUCGUCGUCUCGGCCACCUUGGUUCAGAAGCAUUGUCCAAACUUAUUAGCACCCAGGCUAUUUCUUGUAAUAAACCCAAACAUGAACAUAUAUGUCAUGCUUGCCAAUUAGGGCGCCAUGUUCGCCUCCCUUUCAGUUUAUCUAGCUCUUGUGCUACUCAUAAAUUCGAUUUAAUACAUUGUGACCUUUGGACCUCUCCUAUUGCUAGCGUGUCUGGUUACAAAUAUUAUCUCGUAAUUAUUGAUGAUUUUUCUCACUAUGCUUGGACAUUUCCGCUUCGCCUCAAAUCCGAUACAUUUGCCACUAUCUCUAAUUUCUUUGCCUAUGUUCGUACACAGUUUGGCACCAUCGUGAAGGCCGUCCAGUGCGACAACGGUCGUGAGUUUGACAACUCUUCGGCCCGCACGUUCUUCCUCUCCCAUGGUGUCCUCUUUCGUAUGUCGUGCCCCUACACCUCCCAGCAGAAUGGUAAAGCCGAGCGCGCCCUUCGCACCAUUAACAACAUUGUGCGCUCACUUUUAUUUCAGGCUAGUCUUCCACCCGUCUACUGGGCUGACUCCCUCCACACUGCCACAUAUCUUCUAAACCGUCACCCCACUAAGACUCUUGAUGGCCUGACACCAUUCUAUGCUCUCUACGGCACACAUCCCACUUAUUCACAUCUUCGUGUUUUUGGGUGUGCUUGUUAUCCCAAUUUAUCAUCCACCGCACCACAUAAGUUGGCCCCUCGUUCAUCACUUUGUGUCUUCCUUGGCUACUCAUCCGACCACAAGGGAUAUCGCUGCCUCGACUUACACUCCAACCGAAUUAUCAUCUCUCGGCAUGUAGUGUUCGAUGAAUCCAUGUUUCCCUUUUCAGCGAUGUCUACCUCUCCUUCGGAUCCAGCCACUCUUGACUUCUUGAGCGAGGAUGACUUUUCCACUAUGCCCAUCGGGCCUCGUUCUGUGGUUGCAGGUACCCCCCCUCGUGCGCCAACCCCCCCUGGCUCACCACCACCAGCCAGUGCGCCGCCCGCUGUUGAGCAUGGCUCCAGCCCGGGCGGCUUGCUGGCGCCCGCUGGAGCAGCCUCGGCAGCAGGUGGAGGAGCCACGGCUGCCACUGGCACGUUGCCACCUGCCCAGGCACCUACGGCAGCAUCACCUGGAGGUGGCUCGGCUGUAGCUAGCCCGCCACCGGCUGCACCAGCGCCUUCAACUACGAAAGCGACACCCUCUGCUGCCCCUGCUGACACCUCGUCGCAGGUAGCUGUCAGUAGAGGGGGCCGCACGGCUUCUACCCUGCCCCAACUCAUCGAGCCCGUGGUUAAUGAUCACGGCAUGAGGACUCGGGGCAAGUCUGGUUUCUGCCAGCCAGUUGAUCGUCUGAACCUGCACACGACGACGCUCUCGGCCGUUCCCAAGAGCUUUCGUUCCGCGCUCGCCGACCCUCACUGGAGAGCCGCGAUGCAAGCAGAGUUCGACGCCCUCCUGGCAAAUAACACAUGGACCCUUGUGCCUCGUCCCUCUGGAGUGAACAUCGUCACCGGUAAAUGGAUUUUUCGUCAUAAAUUUUUAGCUGACGGUUCUCUUGAUCGAUACAAGGCAAGAUGGGUUCUCAGAGGCUUCACUCAACGACCUGGUAUUGACUACGAGGAGACUUUCAGUCCCGUUGUCAAACCGGCUACCAUCCGCGUUGUGCUCACACUUGCUCUAUCGCGUUCUUGGCCCAUUCAUCAGCUGGACGUCAAGAAUGCAUUCCUCCAUGGGACUUUGACAGAGACUGUGUAUUGCCAGCAGCCACCCGGGUUUGUUGAUUCUUCCAAGCCCGAUUUUGUUUGCCGAUUGAACAAGUCAUUAUAUGGAUUGAAGCAGGCUCCCCGAGCAUGGCAUAGUCGCUUUGCCAGUCACAUCACCUCCCUUGGGUUUGUUGAGUCCAAAGCGGACACCUCCCUCUUCAUAUAUCGGCGGGGUGCUGACACAGCCUUCUUGCUUCUCUAUGUGGAUGAUAUUGUUCUUACUGCUUCGUCACAGAGUUUCCUUCAGCGCAUCAUCGCAGCUAUGCAACGGGAAUUCUCUAUGACUGACAUGGGUGCUCUCCACCAUUUUCUGGGUGUCUCUGUUGAUCGCCGCUCAGAUGAGUUGUUCCUCUCUCAGAAGCAAUACAUGCUGGAUAUUCUGGACCGUGCUGGUAUGCGUGACUGCAAGCCUUGCAGUACACCUGUUGAUACUCAUGCAAAGCUACCUGCUGAUGGUGUUCCUGUGGCUGAUUCUUCACAUUAUCGCAGUAUCGCUGGUGCCCUUCAGUAUCUCACAUUCACCCGUCCUGAUAUUGCCUAUGCUGUUCAGCAAGUUUGUCUAUAUAUGCAUGAUCCGAGAGAGCCUCAUCUCGCUGCCAUGAAGCGCAUCCUGCGCUAUAUCCAGGGAACUUUGGAGCUUGGAUUUCACCUACAUCGUACCUCGCCUACUGAUCUCACUGUGUACUCCGACGCCGAUUGGGCUGGUUGCCCUGAGACUCGCCGAUCCACUUCUGGCUAUGGCGUUUUCUUGGGUGAUAAUUUGGUCUCAUGGUCCUCCAAGCGUCAGGGAACUGUGUCCAGAUCUAGUGCAGAGGCUGAGUAUCGCGCUGUUGCCAAUGGGGUUGCAGAGGCAUGUUGGCUACGCCAGCUUCUUCUUGAACUCCAUUGCCCUCUUCGACGAGCUACAGUUGUGUAUUGUGACAAUAUCAGUGCCGUUUAUUUAUCCACCAACCCCGUUCAGCAUCAGCGGACCAAACAUGUGGAGAUUGACCUACACUUUGUUCGUGACCGCGUGGCCCUUGGAGAAGUUCGAGUUCUACAUGUCCCUACUACCUCACAGUAUGCCGACAUCUUCACCAAAGGGCUCCCGACGUCCGUCUUUGUUGAGUUUAGGUCCAGUCUUAAUGUUCGCGGUGCUCCCAGUUCCGACUGCGGGGGAGUGUUGGAUUGUAAGCGUGUCACAGCCCAUGGGCCUGCCGUAUCCGGCUCCCCAUGUGGUCUAUAUGUAUACAACUGUUGCUAUUGAGGAAUACAUCGUGCAUUAUACAAUCUAUCACUAACUGAAGAAGCAUCUGGUUGCUUCCAUGAUGUUUUGACAUAUACUGCUAUGAUUAAAGCAUAUAGCUACGAUGGUAAGAUUCUCUUAUGAUCAGGAAAUGUUUCAAUAAUUUUAAGUUUCAACUAAUCAUGUGUCUAUAUGGAUCGUAAAAAUUCGCAGCCAAACGGGGGUCCAUCACCGCCCCGUCUUGCUGCCGUCUCGACCGCCACUUCCUUGCCAUCCCGGAGCUUCUUCUAGGUUCGCCGGAUACAGGUAACCUGAACCCUCGAAACCCCAAACCCUAAAAAGUUCGCCGGAGGUGGAGAAGAAGGGGAAAAGGUGGAAGAGAAAAAAUUCGAAUGUGGGAGAGAUGAUUUUGACUCGAGUGUAGUAUAGCAAUACGAAAAAAAUAUUGACAAGUGAGCAAUAUUUUAUUGUGUCUUCAACGUAGCAUAGAUGUAUGUCAAAAUACCGUAUGACAUGCGUACGAUGGUCGCUCUUAUGUCUCCAAAUUACCAAAUGGUUAACCGAAGAAAAGUCUGUGAAAAAACCCUAAACAUUCUAUUCCAUCUUCAUUCUAUUCCCUCCCCUCCUCUCCCCCUCCCCGGCGGCGACGAAAGAGCGCGCGCCCUUUCCUUCCCGUCUCCCCGGCCCUUUCGCCGCCCCCCAUCGAGUGCCGUCCGCGCCUAGUUCCGCCGGCGCGGAACGCGCCGCCUGCUCGCCCCACCGCGAAGGGGUUCGUCUCGUCCUACUCCUCGGCGCUCGUGAACGGGCGCGGGGAGGGGAUCCGUCCGGGCUUGGAUCGGCUUCUUCCCCACCUGGUAAGGAAACCCUAGCCACCUUGCUUGGUUGCUUGGGCGGACUGCGCGCGCCCUGUUCCGCAGGAUCUUCCCUGUGCUGCGCGACCCGUGAGGGAUCAAUCCGAGAGUUUUCCUGCUCCAGUUCGCACAAUUCGUUGCGAAUUCCUUUUCUGCGAGGAGGGGGUACGGUUAGAAGCUGUCAAAGUUUGCGAAUAAGUUGAAUUUUGCUUUGGGGGUUCAGUUCGAUCCCCACGGCUACACGUGCCAGCCCCAUGUUUGGGAGGAGGUCGGGUCUAAAGCUGCCUGCUUUUUCUCUGCCGUGCUGGAGGUUACAAAUUUAUCUGAUAGACUUGCUCUAUGGGCUCGGAUGUUACUAGUAGUUAGGUGCAUUUUAGGAAGGCUGAAAGGAUAAAGUUAUACUUCACUGCAAAAUAUGCACCAAUAAAUUCUAGUUCUUCAGUGUAGCGUGCACAAUUGUCCAUACCUGUUGAUCUGUUUUGUAGAAAAUUACUUAUUAAUUCAUCCACCUGGCAUCCACCCAUUCAUUGGUUGAUUAAAACUAUUGUUUCACACCCAUGUUUGGGAGGAGGUUGGGCAAAGCUGCGGGCUUGUUCACAAAUUGUUCUUGUGCUGCAGCAUUAUCUGAUAUCUAUGGACUUGCUCUGUGGAUUAACUGGAUCCCAUGUAUUUUUGGAUCAUUUAUUCAUUUGUAAAGCCAUAUUUGUGGUGUUUACAUUAGUACAUAGCCAACACAGCUUACGCUGAGCAAUAUCCUUGCCUUACAUGCUCCAGAUGCAUGCAUCAACUUUGCCGCUCGCGACCCCGACCAGAUCGGUCUUCGACCUUCCCCUCAUCCGCUGUUUCGUUCUACUUUUUUUCCCUCUUGAAAGACCCCUCUGCGUUACUAGCUGAUCGAGGAACGGUAGAUUUUUGCCUGCCUAGACCUGCUAGUGGGUGGCCUCAUGGAUCAAACCUGUGAUUUGGUGGCUGCUGAUGGGAUUUUUGUAUUUGUUAUAGCAAUUCCCGGGGUUUGAUUUCCUCGGCUCCUGUUUACUCGGUGGAAAUGAUUUGUGAAACUUGCUCCUAUAUGUUUCUCGGUGAAAACACAUACGGAUCUUGUGCUGGAUAGAUUUUUUAUUCGUGGCUUCUUUCCAUUGCAGGAUGAGUGAAGAGGAUAAGACUGCUGCUGCUGCUGCUGAGCAGCCGAAGCGAGCCCCUAAGCUCAAUGAAAGGAUCCUCUCUUCUCUGUCCAGGAGAUCAGUAGCUGCUCAUCCAUGGCAUGAUCUUGAGAUCGGUGCGCGGCUUAACUAUCCUUUUCAAGCGUUCCUAGCGCCUUGAUCAAGCAAGCAUAUGCUAAAUGAAUUUGGUUAUGCAGGUCCUGGGGCUCCUGCUGUCUUCAAUGUUGUAAGUAUCAUCAUUGCCUUCUGAACGUUUCACAAGUUAUUAAAUGCUUGAAGCUAUAAUGAUAUUUUUGUAUCGCUUUCCGACCACUCAAGUCUCGCUCGCCUCAUCUUUGUAUCAUGUCUAAAUCAGACUGAAAUGGUUGGCAACCACAAUCUGCAUGCAGCCGUCGUACUCCGUUAUUUACAUUGAGUUUACCAAAGCUGUCACCGAAUAAAGCCACUGUACCGUUAGUGUUGACGAUUGUUUUAGUUAAUUCUAUCGUGUAAAAGUCAGUUUCCGCUCUUGAUUGUCCUGUUAGCCUGUUAGUGCAUUUAAUUCUGUCAUGCAAAAGGCGGAUUCAGAUCGCAAUUUUGCCAUAAUAUUGACCAUUUAGUUUAAUCAAUUUUGUCGUGCAAAAGGUGGGUUUAACUUGUGAUUUCGCCGUAAUGUUGAACAGUUAGUAUAAUUAAUUCUGUCAUGGAGAAGGCAGGUUUGACUCACGAUUUUUCCCUUAGUGCUGAAUAGUUAUUAUAACAAUUAUUUCUGUCACAUAGAAAUAAUUAAUUCUAUGGCAAUUUUUCCAUUACUGUCGAAUGAUUAGUAUAAUUAAUUCUGUUGUGUAAGGCCCUGUUUGGAGUCGCUUUUCUGGAACUCGCUUAUCUGGCAAGCAAGCUUAUCUGAUAAGCCGCUGCCUGGAGAAUCUGCUGUCUGAAUAAGUAGGGUGUUUGGCAAUUCUGAUUAUUUUGUGUCGAUUGUCUGUCCUGGUUGGUAAAUUGACCUGAAUGCCCCUAAGGCUGAUAAUAGCUCAUUUUUAUUGUGAAUCUGAGUAGAAGACAAUAAUUCUAAUGCUUUUGGAGUUUGUUAAAUAGAAAUUACAUCACAAUAAUAUGAAAUUCAUACGAUAGAUCGGAAUAGUAUGGAAACAUCCAUCAUGGGUACAACAACGAAUCAUGAAACCAUAGCGACAGCAAUAGCAUCACGCAAUGCACCCAUAUCAAUGUCAUCUCCUAAAGCACCACCACCACCAUCUGUGCUAGGUUGGGUUGAAUUACCAUCAUCUUCCUGAAAAUCCUCUUCAAAAUGCACGUCAUGUACGGCACUAUCUCUGAUGAAAUUGUGAAGGGCCAUACAAGCAACUAUAAUUUUCGACUGCUUGUUAACCGGAUAACUGGGCAAAUUCAAGAGAAUGCGCCACUUCAUCUUUAGAACUCCAAAUGAUCGCUCAAUCACAUUUCUAAGGGAUGAAUGUGCAUGAUUAAACACUUCUUUCAAUCCUACCGGAUGCUGACCAUGCUGCCAUUCGGAAACAUGAUACCUCUGUCCCUUGUAGGGUGCAAGAAAUCCUUUUCUAUUAGGAUAUCCAGAGUCAACAAGAUAGUACUUACCUGCAUGUUAUAUUUACAUGUUAUAUCACAAUGACCAAAUAUUCCCUGAAAAAAAAAUUGCAACAUAACUCGUCCUUACCAUCGGGAGGAUGUGGAAAUUGAUCCUUGUAUGUGACAAGCGUGUCCAAUAAUACACGAGUAUCAUGGACAGAACCAGGCCAACCAGUGACAGCAAAUGUGAACCGCAUAUCAAAGUCACAAACCGCCACGACGUUUUGUGAAGGAUACCCAUGCCGACCAAUGUAUUUCGGUUGAUCAGCUAAUGGCACAGUUACGGGUAUAUGGGUACCAUCAAUUGCUCCUAUGCAAUCUUUGAAAUGAGGCCAAAACCUUGCUUCUUGUAGUUUAGGAUGAAUAGUAGAAAAUUGCGGAUCCUUAGGCCUCACAAUGUCAACAAUGUCAACAGCUAAUCUCAUGAUAGAUUCAAGAACCUCUUCAAAUUUUCUACUCACAGUUUCUAAUGAGCGAUGGAAAUUAUUCUUGCAUUGCCUAAAAGAUUGAGGUGCACCACAAGCCCAUAGAAACAUUCCUAGUGCUUCCUUGCUACAAAAUUGUCUACUUGAUCUCAAUCCAUAAUCUUGCACCAAAGUGUCAUGAAGGCUUAAGAAAACUGACCUCCUCAUUCUGAACAUGUUAAAGCACUCCACUGGAUCUUGUAGUUGUAACUCAACCCACUGUAUUCCAGUCAUACUUGCUAUCGUAGUAGUAAUCUUCUUCUUGUUCAUACCAGAUGAUGCCAUGUAGUCCAGACCAAGCAUUGCCACUAUGUAAUCAUCAUCAGUGUCGUCAGAUUCAUCAACAUCCAUAGUAUGAACAGAAUCACUGUUGCCUUCACAUUCACUAGUUGCACUAGAGGUACUCAUCAAAACAAAUGCAAGCCUGUCAAAAAGCACUAACCAAGUCAUCAGAUGAAUUUUUAUUGUUACAACACAACUAAUAGAAGGUUCAUAGUCUCACACAGCAUACUUAGAAAAUUGAAAUUAUGUCUCACACAACAUAAGACAAAUGAAAGAUAAAUGGCACACUAAUGCAACACCCUAGUGCUUCUUCCUUAUCUCCCAAGCCCUCCUCAGCCAAUUCAACCUCCCAUUUGGUGUCUUCAAUGUAAUGAACACAUCACGGUUCUCCUUUUUUUGAAGAAGUUGUGUGGCAUAGAAGUGUUCAUCACUCCCCUCCUCAGCCCCAUCCUUAAUGACUUGCUCCAACAUAUUUCCAAUCUCAUCUCUAACGUGAUCAACAACCGCCGAAGUAGCUGAAUGUUUACUACUUUGAGCUUUCAACUCAUAUGCAUCGACCAACCGCUUCAUGCACUGGUCUCUAAAAGUCUUCUUCUUCUUUCCUUUAGGGGAACUAGGAGCUGGCCUUUUUGAAGCCCUCCGCUCAGAACUGGAUGGGGCCUUAUGUGCCUCUCUAUCAUUGUUGCCCUCAACAUCAACAACAUCAUGUUCAUCAACAUCAACGUUUCCAUCACCACUUGGAACAUAUGAAGUUUCAUUUGUAACAAUGACCGAUUCAAACAUGAUUCGCAUCUGAUCCUCAUAUUCAAGCGGAGCUGUUCUGAAUCGGAUACAACCUGGCAUAGCCUGUAAAAUAUCAUCAAAACAGCAUGCUAUUAUACUCCAAUUCAAAAAAAUUAAACAACGUGUAUAUGAACUAUAUCUUUAGUAUGAUUGUUAGUGGGCUCACCUUAUUUUGUUCUUCCCACCAUUCAUCGUCAGCCACAAUACAACCAGUAACAGGAUCUCUUCCCAAUCCGGUUGAUCUCAAGUUCAAAGUUUUCCAUUGGGUAUACAUUUUUUUCAAUAUAUCCCACCUAUUCUUCAUUUGACUCUCACCGUAUGGCCUCUUGGUACGCUCAUAAAACUUUCUAAUAAGGUUUGCAUAUCCCACCGCAUUCAAACAUUGCUGCGGUCGAUUGAAAGCAAGUACUUCUUCCACACAAAUGUCAUUGAAAGCUUUCGCGGCAAAUGAAUCCCAUUUUGCCACAAUCUUUGACGACUUUUCCAUCUAAAAUUUGAUUACAGUAUUGUAGAAUUAAAUACAAAUCUACGAGCUUGUUCACUGAUCAUACAAACCACAAUCUGUCAUUUUAGCAAUCCAUCAAGAAGUGACACAAAUUUUACCUUGCUAUUUGUUGGCGGCCUUGCAGUCAUAACAGCUACAGCUGUCCAGAUCCUUCGCAGCAACUGCACGCAUACAUAAAAUUGUUAUGAGCUACUCCAUCAUCAUAUAGGUCCAAAGAGACUCCAAUGCAAAAUGAAAAAAGAAAGUCAUAUGUGAUAUAAAAUGUGUUGAAAACUGAAUCGUCAAAGAAAGUCAUAUGUGGUGUAUUGGAUGGAUUGUGCUAUAUGGGUGGUCGAGUAUUUGACUACGGUGUUGUUGUGCCUAGUGCCAUUUGGAGGAGUCCUUUUAUGGAGCCAUGUGGUUGUUGCCUCAAAUUCUUCUACUUUUACCAGCCAACCAUGUGCUGCGUGUAAAAAAAAAAGUAAACGCAUCAUGUGUUGGUGCACUCUCUAUUGGAGAAUUAAACUAAUAAAGAACAUAUAGAUCAUUCUUGAUGCCAUAGAGAAUCACAUUGGCAUUCGGUUGCUGGAGUGGCUAAAAAAAAUUAAUUGAUUCCAUAUGCAGGUGAUGAGAUGCAUAUUUUUUUGCAAAUGUCAUAUGUGCGCAGAGAAUUCAUGCUCUAGGCACGAUGUUUCACCAAAAGAAGCUAUUAUCUUAGUACUGGAAAUCUUAGCCUUUUUUCAAGCACCAGAGGUGUUGUAUAUCAUUAUCGACGGGGACAGCAAUUACAGAACAGAAAGAGUUUCAGAAUAAAACUCAAGAACUCAGCCUCUCAACAUAUAAUAAUUCGACGAAAUACAGCCUAAUGGUUCACAUCAACACAACUCAACAGGUGUUCUUCCAAUACAAAAACGAAUGUAGUUGCUAACAAUGAACACAUGAAAAUAAAAUCUGAGCUGAAAAAUCAAACGGAAUUUCAGACCACAAACUGAGGCAUCCAAAGCUACUCCUUCAGCGCUGGUUAAAAAGCCUGUUGGACUGGGGAACCAGAAACUUACUUCAGGGGGUGUCCGGCGGCGGGGCGGCGGCCAGGGGGCGGCCAGGC